rnacentral:lncRNA from 1 species
AAAAACAGGAGGUAUUACUUUUUCUUUCUUUCUAAUUUAGGGUUAGGUGUAUGGAAUGGAACCCAAUUGACUAAAGGAGCUCAGGGAACACAGAGAGAGAGAGAGAGAGAGAGAGAGAGAGAGAGAGAGAAGAGAGAGAGAGAGAGAGAAGACCAUAACCAUGCAUAUGAGAGAGAGAGAGAGAGAGAGAGAGAGAGAGAGAGAGAGAGAGAAUAUUAAUCGUACUUGUUGCUAAUAAGUCUUGUCUUUAAAGGGCAAGUUCGAUUUGGGAAAUGAGUCCAUUGGCAUCACCAAAUGUCUGAAUAAAUUAAGGAUUGGAUUAUCUUAGAGAAGAGUUGAUUUGAAAAAGAAAACAAGUAGGAUAAGAUUAAUAAUAAUUAUAUAAUUAUUAAGGUCUUGGUGGCAAUGAUGUGUAUAAAGUUGGGAUGAUGGUGGUGGGUGCCCUAAGAAUGGUUGGCCGAUUCCUUAGUGAUUUUCCCUUUCAUAUUUUCCUGUGUAUUUGUUUGAAUAAACAAAAGAAACGUCACGUAAACAAUUGCUUUUCCUGUUUGUGGUCUUAUUCUCAAGUGCAAUCUAAAGUGGCGUGCCACCGCCACUAAGAAUGGCUAGUGUUGGCGUCACCAAUUUUCAGAUUCAAAAAAAUCAUGAAAAAUUUAGAUUCUCAAUCCAAGUUUGGAUGCGAUUUUCCUUUUCUUGUGUCCCCGAAUAUGUAAUUAUGUAUGUUUUGUUGAAAAUAAGUGAAUUUCAUUCCUUUUUCACAUACUCACCAACAUCAAACCUGUAUUUGGGCUUUCUUGAAAAUGAGGACUUCAAUAUGCUACUUUUGUGGCGUUGGUAUGAAGGAGUUUCUUGUAGUUUUUCCAAAGAUUGGGCCAGCUUUCCUUAUGGAGGGUUCUAGCAAUUUCUAGUCUGAUAUUAAUUGAAACAUACAUAAAAUGAUAAAGGAACAAUUUAUAAACUUAAAUGCAAUCAAAAAAACAUAAUUUAGAGUUAAAGAUUUCUCAAUUCAAUUAUGUACAGGAGGAGUUUAAAGAAAACAAACGAUAAACUGAUAAACUGGUACAUGAAAAAGAAAAAAAAAAAAAAAGCAAGCCUAGCAACUAGGAAUCAUACUAAGUGUUGGUAGAGCAAUAAACUUAAAAGAUAACUUAGGAGUUGUCAAUUGGAUAUCUUAAUACAAAGGAAACUAGUUGAGUUCAACGAGAUCAAGUGUUGAUUGAGUGUGAAAUCUUUUUUUGGGAGAACAGUUGUGUGGCUAUAGAGCUGUGCUAAGCUAGUAUAUAUAAGCUCCUUGGUUGAUGAAGGGAUGGUUGAAUCUACUGUGAAUCCUUUCUUUGCGGGUUGAACUGGUGAACUUAAGUGCUUUGAUUUUUGUGCCGACAGUGAGAACUACCCAAGCAUGGCCUUUCUUCGACAAGUUGGUUCAGGAGAAGCUCAUGGUUCAAGUCGCAUUUAAUGUAGUUCCUCAGCCUUUCUUUUGCCGCCUAACUUCUUCCCAGUUGUAGAAGUCAACUUUGAGCUUUGAUUUGGGUAAGCGCACCUUUACUCGAGUAAAAGGUUUUCAAAUUUGUGAGAAACAACUUUAAAUUAAAAGGUCUGUUGUAAAGAAGAAUAAGUAAAGAAGAAUAGGUGAAGUCCACAUAGCCAACUCACACCCACCAAACCAAACCACUACCCAAUUGAUUGAAGAAUAUUAAUGAUGUUGUCUACCAAUUAUAUUGUGAGGUGAACCACCAAUGUCUUAGGCCUAUAAAUAGAUACCUCCAUCAAGAGAAGUGGGAGCUUAGAGAAGAGGAAGAGAAGGAAGAAAGAGGGUGAGUGAGUUGAGAGGAAAGAGAGCAAGAGAGAAAUUCUCCAAGAGAGAAAAUUGAGUGAGCCAUACAUAUUGUAAACACUAAAGUUGUAGCCCUAUUAUUUUACAUAGUGGAAAAGUUACUACUGCUGCUCUCCGGGGACGUAGGCAUAGCCGAACCUCGUUAAAUACUGUGUCUCAUCUACUUUACGUGCAGCUCAAUAUUCGCACAUAUCUCAGUUAUUUUACAACAAGGUCAACAUUAUUAGGAGGCAUGAGACAUCCUUUUACGAAUGCCGCCCGGACCUAGAUGUAGCCUAGCUGCCAAACCGCUGCAAGAGCAGCGAUCCAGCAACUAGGCCACGGCGCGUCUCGCACUCCUCCAAAUCAGCAUGCUACGCUCCAAACUAUGGAAAAAAAAACAAAAAAAAAGAUACGCGGCGACAAUCGCCAAAGCAGCCACCAUUGCAACCACCGAUGCUACCACCACCUAGGCGCGUCGGUUAUCUCUUGCAGUCAUGACGACAAGCAGUUGGGUCCACCCCAUUAGUCCUCCCCUCGACUCUCGACAGAAGAAAAGACUGCCGUAGCCACCGCCGACAACGGCGACAACUACGACCGUGCUGCUCCUAUGCGACAACAACAACCAGUUGGGCCCGCCCAACUUCUCCUCGCCGUGAAGAAAAAUGAAGAGAAAAAAUAUAUAUUCGACCUACCUUGGUGUGCACGACGACUCCUCUCCUCAACAAGCAGUACAAUUCUCCAAGAUCUCUCUUACAAGCUAAAAAGUAGAGUUAACAAGUUUGCAAUUUGAAUAGAAGUGAAGAGAAGCCUUGUAUUUAUAAAGGUUGGACAUCCUAAGUCAAGGAGGAAUCACAAGCCUAUUCCCAUUGGGAGUCCAACUCCAAGAAGAAGGGGUAUUUGUGGGAACAUAUAUUUCGAAGGCCAAUAAGAAGAAGAUACGUGAAAAAGGAAUAUUCCUUAGGUCAAACUAAUUACCCUAAUUAAUUUCUAUUUAAUUAGAGAAAUUAUCUUAAAUUUAAGAUAGGAAUAUCUCCAUAAAUCAAGGAACCAAUCUCCACCAAAUCUCUUAGAGCAAUUCUUAUCAUCUUUUUGGGGAAGAAUAAUCCUAACCAAAUAAGGAUUAUUGUCCUAAAACCCUAGCACACAAGGAGGCUAUAAAUACAUGGCUACACAAGGCAUUCAAGGUAAUUCUUCUCUAAUUCCCAAAUCAUACGAAAACCCUUCUCUCUCUCCUUGUCGUCGCCCCUCUCAUCUCUCCCUCUCUCACAUAGCUAAGUGCCACCACAUACGGCUAAGGCCACUCGGCUCUUCCCGUGAGAGAAAACUCCAUCCAUUUUAGCUAUUGCCGUAUCUUUUAUCAAAGAUCCAAUUGAACUAACUUAGACAUCGGAAGGCCUUUGGCCAACAACCCCUGGAUGUGGUCUAUUUACUCAUGUUUACUUCACAGGGAUCGAGAAAAAGAGAGAAGGAAGCUCAAAGGGAGAAAAAUCUACAUGCGAAUAUUCUCCCGUGAGAAAUUUACAGAAACACUUAGAAUCAUUCUACUAGUCAAACCACUGGUCGUAGUCCUUUUGAGGUUGUUUAUGGGAAAAAUCCUAUAAGCCCUCUGGAAUUAACUCCUCUUUCAAUCAAGAAUCAGUUCAAUGGUGAUGUAGAAGAAAGAGCUAAAAGCAUCAAAUGAUUGCGUGAACAGGUCUACAGGAAAAUCCUUCAACAAAAUGAAAAGUACAAGAAGAGUGCUAACAAGCAUCGGAAAGAUGCAAAAUUUAAGGAAGGUGCACCUUGAAAGUUUGGUAAACUCAAGCCUAAGGUUGAUGGUCCAUUCAAAGUAUUUAAGCGCAUAGGUAAUAAUUCUUAUGAGAUUGAGCUUCCAGAUCACUACAACGUUGCAAGUACUUUCAAUGUUUCAAACCUCUCUCCGUUUCAUUGCAAGUAAAACCAGCAUGACUCGACAUCAAGUCUUUUCCAAUCGAGGGAGUGUAUGCAAACAAACUCCUAAUAUCAUGCCCAAAGGAAUUCCAAAUACUUACAUCACUCACUCAAGCUGAAGGGGUUGCAAGACAUUAAAGCAGGUGUUAUUAUGACUGAAAAUUAAUUGCAUACAAAAUUUAUUUGAAGCCAAGCCUAUCUGGAACUCAUUGUUUUUUACGAAUCCCCAUUUAGAGUUUUCUAGAAGAAGUUAUGGUCAUUUAAGAGCACUUUCACCCAUUUUUCAUGGCAAAGGGUAAGGGCUGUUACUAUUCACGUGAAUAGUGGCAUCCCUUGCAAAAGGUUUGUUGUGUUUCCACCCAUUGUCAUGACAACCCAAAGAGAACCACUAUUCUCAUGAGAUAUGAGGAGAGGAAUUUGUAUAGAGUUUUGCUGUGGGAAUUGAAAAAUAUAGCUAGCUAUUUAUUUAUGAAAAAAAAUUGAAAUUUUUGGUUUUUCUAUUUUUAAAUUUUUUUCAUUUUUUUUAUUUAAAAAAUUUGGUUGUUGACGUCAUCGCUAACGUUAGCAGCCCCCCAGGCACGAGCUCGAGCUCAUUUUGCCUUUGGGUUUGCCCUGUUUGUUGAGACCCACCUUCUGCCCGAGCUGCUGAAGCCCGAUGGAACUGCGACUUGGAGCUUGGGCCGCCUUCUGCCCAGGCCAAACUAAAGCACUUGAAUUGUUCUAAAUGAAGGUAGUGCAUGUUGUCUGGAGUUAUGCGAGAAUCCAGAAGGAAUUAGUCUUGCAUUCGAAUAUUUCAUAUUUUCUAGGUAUCAUUUGUUUAGUCUAGGAGUCUUAUUAAUAUUUCCUAGUUAUCCUUGUCUUGGAAUGACAAAAGUCACCUAUCUUUGGAGAGUUGUUCCAAGGAGUUACUUCUUUUUAUACUCCCCAUUGUGUUCUGCUAGGACAUUGAGUAUUGAAAUGAAAAGUUAUGUUCUUUUGAACUAUUAUCCUUAAACUCUGUAUCUCUGUAUCUCCUUGGAGGAUUCCAUUGAGUGGUGAGUUCCCUUUACUCUAUGGCCUCGUUUGGUUCAUGAGAAAGGAGACUUGGGAAUGGGAAAUCAAUUACUUUCCUAUGUUUGAUAAGUCUAGGUAUGGGAAAUCGUUGCUUGGCUCAUGAGAAAAUAAAAGGGAAAGUGAAGGCAUCCUCCCAACUUUGGUUUUGUUUUCCCUCCUCAUGGGAAAGUUUGGGAAAAUGAGCUAACAUUAAAUACAUAUUUUUUAUGACCAUUUUAUCCCCAUUAACAAUUUAGAAUUACAAUAUAUCAUUAAAUGCAUUUUUUUAUUUGAUUUAAUAUGGAUAUAAUUAAAAAUUUACACAAACUUUGUUUUCCAUUCCUACUCAAAACAAACAUGGGAAAGAAAAUAAAGUGAUAUUUCCCGGUUACUUUCCCGGUUACUUUCCCAAUAUUAUCAAACGUGGGAAAUGAAUCUUCCAUUCUCAUUCUUUGGGGAAUGAUUUCCCCUCAAAUUCAUUCCAUGAACCAAACAGGGCCUAUAUCCCAAUAUAAACACUUUGGGUGGUGAUUUCUGUAUCCCUUAGGUGUAUGUUGGGUGGUGAGUGUUUCUUUGUGCUUUGAGCCUUUGGUCCCAAGCCAUUUAUCGACCAUAUCUGCACGAGGCCCAACGGACCAUUCCAUUUAAAGCCCAUUUAUUAUAUUAUAAUUGUUUCUAGAUAAUAAUAAUAAUAAUAAUAUUACUAUAUCUAUAUCUUAAAUUUAAGUAUAUUUCCUUUUUCUAAUAAUAGAUUUUAAAAAACAAUGUUUUCUUUAUAAAUAAAAUAAUUAUUUUGUUCUUCAAGUGGAAAUCUUUUAAGCUCGAACAAGAGUCGAGCAAUUUUCUAUCUACAUGUAAUUAAAAAAGAGUCAUUUGUUUCUUUUUCCGAAAAUAAGAAAUCUUAUUAAUAUAUACAUAAUAGUUAAAAAUAUUGAAAUGAAAUUGUCAAAAAAGAAAUUUACAAGACAUGAAAUACAUAAGUCAGGCUUGGUGUGGGCUCAUAUAAGCCCGACCCAUCCCUAUAUGAGUUAGGGCCGCAGACUCGAGCUGGACUUAAUGAUUUUCAUAAGAGUGACUUUGGAAAAAAUCCAAGGAGAGAAAUUUUUUAAAAGAAGCCAAAAUGGACAAAAUUGCCCUGAUUUGUUUUUGAAUUUCCUAAGAAAUCCUUUACAUUUGCAUAUCUUUAGUUUGAAAAUUGAGAGAUUUUUCUAUUCUUUUUUGAAAUUUUUUUCGCUUUUUCCAAAAGUGAAAGUUUUUUUAUGGCUAAAACCUAAAUUUACUUUUUCAUAAAUAGUUGAGUUUUGCCCCUAGUAAGGCCAACUUCAAACUGGCUUGACCCGACCCACUUGACAACUCUACUUGUGGGCAUAUCAUGAGUGUUAUGGAUGCUUGGACAUAAUUGGAAAAUUGUUUGCUACUUAUAUCGGACCAACCUUAUACUCCAGUCUUAGAUGAAGCCUGAAGGGCAAGGUAAGGUCCCUCAAACCAGGAAGGCAUCCUCUAUACAAUCUUUCUUACCAAUUCCCCUUCCCAUAAUUGGAGGAUCAACCCUCAGCCCCGAAAGCAGGCAAUAAGCUUGCUAUUUAUGAGAAUACCACGUAUAUGAUAUGAAAGCCAAUUUUAUGAAGCCUCUUACUUCGUGUAAGAAAGCCAAAUUCUAAAUCUAAGCAGCCAACAAAUUUAUUACAAGUACAACCUUGAAGCUUCGGCCAUUAGCAAGAUCAAGUUGGCUUGCUAGCCAGUGAAGGUGAACUCAAUAAAUUCCUCUCAUAGAGCUAGCUGUUAGCCUGCUACAGAGUUCACUUAGUAGAUGAGGGAAAACUUGAGCAAAUCAUAUAUCCUUGUCAAUUGUCAUUUAUCAACAUACAAAUCAGAAUUAGAACCUCAACAAAAAUAAACUGUCUAACAUCACGACUGAACUCAACAUGAAAUUUACCUCCCGUAGACAACAACCCAACUGAGGGAAUGUCAUAAAAAUUUUCUGAAAAACUAAAGAAUCUUUUCCGAACUGGUAUCGUACAGGUACCUAAAAUUCUUGUGGCUUACAACAUUCUCAUGCUUAUUCAUGUGCCUUGAUAAUGCCAUUAGACGAAAUAGUUUCUUUAGCCAACUGAAAGAUGUUUCGAGAAACAAGCUGCCCAUCUAUCUUACUAUGCCUUUACAACAGGAAUACUCUUCCAGAACUCAAGAAGGGGCCACAAUUAACCUAAUGACUCACUAAACUUAUUACUAAAAACCAAUUAGUAUAAUUUCAGAUUCGUUUCAGUAGAACCCCUUGAAAAUAAAUAAUGAAUGUAUAAGCCUGAAUUGCUCAUUAAUUAUUUCUUUUAUCUGUGAACAAGGCUGAGAAGAAAAGAGACAGAAGAAGAAAUCAUUAAGCAAAAUCUAUAAACAAGAACUAGGAGAAAAAUCAUUCAAAAAGUACAAUGAAGAGAAAGUAACAUCCCGAAAAACAGUAAUUCAUAUUCCAAAACAAAGCUUAAAGAGGGUUAAUGAAUGCAUCAAAAGCAUUGAAAACGAAAUAAUGGAGGCUUAAUUUUAAAUUUAUGAAAAAAAAAAAUAGGUUCUCCAAUUUUCCUGCUAUCCAAAUAUCUCUGACUUUGCAGGGUUGAACAUUCACAUGAAAGAUGAAAUAAUACUUUAGAAUGGGAUGAUAGCAGAACUAAGACUCCGAUCGUAUUCUUAAAAAAUAGACAUACACACUAAAUGUACAUAUUUUAUUUUAUAAAAUUUAAUACAUGGACCUGUUAAUAUACUAAAGACUUUGUGAAUCCCCAGACCUAAAUUUCUAUGCAGCCUUAAACCUCCAGGCAUGAAUAUAAAGAAAAUGAAAAAAAAACAAAAUAUAGGGGGAACAAAAGGGCUCUUUCCCAAAAUAUGUAUUUCAGGCAAGACGCUGCCGCUACAACUUGGUGUAAGAAAAAGAUAGAAAGAAACCUGCCAAGCAGUCAGCCAGCCUUUUGCUUAUUUAAGAUAAUAAGACCUCCUCAACUAGCUACAGGUAACUAAAAUAUUGAAAUAGCAAUCUCGUAUCAUAAUUUCAAAAAUAGCAAAUUAAGUAAACUUUCAAUAUAUUUGAAACAGUUUAACCAAACAAAAGAAUGUUUCCCAUAACAGAGAAUUAACACAAUUCCUCAAAAGGUCAUAAGCUAAGAGGAGUGAUCUUAACGUGAAAACUAAAAACCAUUACAUGGGGAUAGAAUAGAUUGAUGUAAGAAAAGAAAAAGAAACCAAAAAUAGAAAUGAUGGGAGGGAAUAAAGAUAAAACAAAGAUCCAAUAUCAAACUGAUAAUAACAAACAAAAAUCACAAUACAUUAAUAAGCAAAUAAUAUAUUAUAAAAAUGGGGAAAAGGGCAGGAAAUGGGGUGAAACACGAAAGAAUAGUCACUGAAAAAGAAAAAGAAACUGAACAUUAAGGUGAAACUGGAUGUUGUCAAUUCUUACAAAAUAAAGGAUGUCAAAGAUGUGAUGAAUUAAAACAUUAAAAAAAAAACAAAAAAGGAACGUCCACCAAGUUGCUAUCGAGCUUGGCCAAAUUUGAAGUAAUGGACCAUGAGAAAACUAAAAUACAAAGUCUUCCCAAAGAAAAACUUCCCGAAAAAGUGUUCAAUCCAAAGCAAGCUUUAAGAUAAAUAUUCCUUAGAGACGUGAUCAUCCUUCCUGAUGUUCAGCGACACUUACUCUGCAAACAUACAGCCCAAGAAUGUAAUGCCAAGAAACACAACAAUCUCCCUUUCAAAGAAAUUAUCAUCUCUAAAGCAUCAAAACAAUUAAAACUUUAAAUAUUUAAAAAAAAACUGAAAAAUUUGAGAAAAACAUUCAUGCUCAAAGAAGUUAAAACAUAUGUCCAAGUGAUCCCUGUUACAAAAAUUAUGAGCCAUGGCAUCAUGAUGGUAUAAAUACAAGGAUUCAGUGAACAUAAUAUUAGAUUCAAAUGGCAAAAGAAACUAAAGAGAAGGUACACAUUUAAUAUAGUAUAGUAUACCACCAAAAAGAAAAGUGGCUAGUUAAUGUUAGGGUAACCAACUGCACAAGUUUACAAAACAGAUUUCCUAAAUGAAGUUAAAGACAGUAAACACUUUAGCCCGUUUACCAAAAAAAAAAAGAAACAACCAGAAGAAAAUUGAAAAUUGAAAUGGAAAUUAUCCAGGAGUGAAUUAAAAACUUAAAAGACUUUCAAACAUUUUUAUUCAUAGAAUACAAAAUACUAAAGAUACCUUCGUUAGUUAUGAAUAUUAUAAAUAUGUGAAAAGAAAUAUUCAGAGAGAAAAUCAUUUGGGGAAAUUUGGGAAACGCUAUAAAAAAAUGUCAUGAGUCUGACCGAAUAACCCCAAACUUCUGUAUAAAUUCUGUAAUCAUUGCACUAAUAAGUAUCUGAUAUUUAAAAAACAUGUAAGAAAUUCUAAUAAAUCUGAUCAACAAAUAUUGUGCGUGCGUGCAUGUGUGUGUGCAUGAAAAGGUUGGAUUCUUAAAUACAAUGUUAUGUCAUCCUCUGAUGAAAGUACGAGGAUGAUUAUCUCAUUCAAUUUAAUGUAGGAAGAAGAGUCUUUAAGAAUCUUAAAAUCAUAUUUUACUAGAAUUAAAUUAAUCCACAAAUGAGCUCCACGUGUGAAUACACAAAUGCUUAGUUUCAUGUAAUCACAGAAGUUUACAACAAAACAGUACAUCUUAGACUGGUACAGUACUCAAAUGAAUAUAAUUUAGUCCAAAGGUUUGAUAAAAUUCAAACUCAUGAACCCAGCAGAAAAAAGUAAAAUAUAAUAAAAUAAUAGAAAUAAAGAAAGGUUCAUAAUCCAGCUGGAAGCCAGAAAAAAAAGAACCUGACACCACAUAAGUGGGAUAGGAAAUAACUAGCAACAGAAAACCAAACUUCCAAGAAAAGAACUAUCAUGGAAACUGGCGAAGAAGCAACAUGCAAAGCAGCAAGGCUUAUUGCAGAACAAAAACAGUAAACCCUUAGACUUCACAGACUUAACCGCGUGUAAAGAACAUAAACAAUAUGCCUCGGAGACUCAGAAGAAAAAUGACCUUUUGUUUACCAUAACAAACAGUUACAUCUAUUAGUUCUAGAGCCUCUUUUAUGGUAAUCUGUUCUUGGCUAACUCUCUCUAUGCUGAAAUUGAUUAAGCUCACCAAAAUCAUCUACUUUCACCCCAUAACAUAAAAUUUUAAGUACCUUAUCAGUUGGCUAUGUGCAUUCAGGUUUUGUAAAUAAAAAAUUGUUCUUCAGAGACUUAGAAGGAUGAGGCCUUUUUUCUGCAUACCAUAACAAACUGAAACAGUAAUGUCUGUUACCCAACCAUUCUAACCUGUUUUUGGCUUACUUCCUGUAUGCUGAAAUUAUUUAAGCUCACCAAAACUAUCUACUUUCAAUAGAUAACAUACAAAUUCUCAUCUUGAAAUUCACCUUUCAUAACAACCUAUGUAGAUUAUGAAACUCAUAAAAUCUCAGUGAGUUACAUGUAUACAGAAAAAUUGAUUCAGUUCCCACAAAGCAAACACCGGAUAUUUGAGAAAGAGUCAAAAUACAAGUACUUGUAACCAAAUUAGACAUUUUAAAUCCAUAUAAACCAUCGUGCACAAUUUUUUUUACCACUAAACUACCAAAAACUAAAACUGAAUAUGCAUAAAAAGCAAGAUGAAGAAACAUAUGCACGACACUAGGACAUGAGAAAUGUAAUUGCAAUACGGCAUACCACAUAUAUGAUGUAUACCCAGCGAAUGACCCACCAGCCCUCUGAGGCCUACCAGAACCCGGCUGCUGAACCUGCGUAUUUGGGUAAACGUGCUGCAGACCCUGGAGCAUAGGAAGAGACCCACUCGUCCCAUAUGCACCAAGCAAUGAGGGGUUACUCAACCCAUGAGAUCCUCCACCCAAACUGACCAACCCAUGAGACCCUCCACCUAAAUUGACCAACCCAUGAGACCCUCCACUGUACCCACCAACACCAGCACCCACCUGGCCCACUUGGCUUACCGGAAUAACACUUGGGUUCAAUGCCCCUCCCAUUAUACCCGGGUUCAAUGCUCGGGCCACCAUACCCGGGUUGGCAGACCCAGGAACAAACCCACCACCCACAUUGCCCAUUAAUCCACCGUACAAUGGGUUAAGGUUCGGAUGCUGACCGAACAAAGCCAUAUUCUGCGCUGCUGCUACAGCAGCCAGUGUCGGCUGCUGCAUUUGCCCUUGCGGGGGCGCCACAGCUGAGUUCUUGUUCUUCGAACCUUCGGCCGCCUUCUGGCAUUGCAAUUGGUGCCCUUCAAACACCUUGAAGGGUUCUUCAAGAGCCUUCUUCGCACCCUCCACAGUCUUGUACAGGAACAGAGCGAAACCCUUACAUUUUCCGGUCUGCGAAUCGAAACCCAUUGGCCCAGUUUCGAUUUCCCCAAAUUUAGCAAAAAAAAUUCUCAAUUUCUCACCAUCAACAUCAUGCGGCACGCUGCUCACGUAUAUUUUUCUCGAUGCCGAGUCCGAUUGAGCGUUAAAUGACGACGAAGAAGUCGUCGUGUUGUUGUUGGCCGGACCCACCGAGGCCAACUGACAGGAAGCGAUUCUAUUGCUGAUGUUCUUCUUAGGGUUCUUCAACGCCUUGGCGGCUCCACGGCGCGUUUUGAAGAGGACGAAGCCAUAGCCUUUUGCCUUGCCCGUGGCCUUGUCCAACACCAAAUUGCAUUCCUCGAUCUCGCCAAAGGGUUCGAAGGCAGCGACAAGGGUUUCGCGCGUGGUGUCCCAACCGAGGCCGUGGAUGAAGAUCUUUCGAUGCGAAACGUCGCCGUCUGCAGCAUCCCGAAUGCGGUUGAAGAGGGCCGAGUCCUUGGAGGCCGCUUCGACGAUGAGCUCGAUGAGCUGGUCCUUGGUGUAGGCUUGGAGUAGUUCAGGGAGGUUCUCUACGUCGGACUCGGACGAGUCUGAGUCUGAGUCCGAGACGGAACCGGAAUCGGAAUCGGAUUGGGGUUGUUUCUGGUUAGGGUUAGGGUGCUCUUCUUCUCUUUCUUCUUUUUCUUCGAAUUUUUGCUUGGGGUUUUGGGUUUUGGGUUUUUUCUCAAUGGUUUUGUCGGAUGUUUUGAUGAGCCUGCGCUUCUUCGUUUUUGUGAUCUUCGCCAUUGGAGCCACAGCCACCCACAGAGUCAGAGCAGGGAAGAGCAAAGCAGGGUUUUUUUUUGGGCUCGGAAGAAGACUGCGAACGACGUUACUGCUGUGUUGUGUGCGUUUUGAAAGGUACAAUGAAUCCCUCGGUUUUUAGAAUACAAAAGGCGUUUUGAAAGGUACAAUUAUCAGUCAAUAGGCUUCUCCAACCCAUGAGGGUUCCCCUCUAAAAAGUAACUAUUUGAGUUUGGUUCCGGAUUCAAAUUGUUUUUUCUCUCAACCUUCCGGAUUCAAAUUUUAAAUUCACAACUUUAUUAAAUUAUUUAAAAAUUAUUGAAGUCGAAUUUUUUUUUUAAACAUAACUUUUCUUCAUUCAAUUUUUUUAAAUAACUUCAUAAUUAAAUUUUUUGAACCAUUUCACCUAAAAAAAUUAAAAAUUCCACAAAUAUAAUUUGACCUAGAUUAAUUUAAAAUAUUAUUUUGACUAUUGGAUUUAAAUUUCAGCAGUUGGAUCUUUUUUUUAUCAUUAAAAUAGUUUAGAUUUAAUCUAGAUCAUUGAUUUAAGUUACAUUUAGAUUUUUUUUUUUUUACAAAAAAAAAAACCAAAUUCAUUUGUACAAGCAGACAAACAGCAACUUGACAAGUGGCUGGACAAGCAGCCAAACAGCAACAGUCCAGCAGGUUAGCUGGGGCCCACGUCAGAUGUUGUGCACAUGGGGCUGUUUAAGGUGCAGUGGGCUCCAUUGAAUAGUGUUGGGUCCAAGCAAUACUUGGACCUAGGUCCAAAUUUGGGUUUUUUUAAAUUUUGGAUCCUUCAUUUUCUUGGAUUGAGAGAGGUUUUGGGCAAUAUUUUGGGCUUAGGUCCUUGGGUUAGAGAUGGCCUUAUGGUUCGUCUUUUUGGGUUUGAGCCAGGCUCAGCCUGAUUCACAGGAUUUAGAGCUAGUUUAGCAUUGUUGUGCUAUUAAAAUAAUCAUUGUCAGAUUUGCUAUGAGAAAAAUCAGCUAUGAGAAAAGUAGUUUAGCGUUUGGUAAACUUUUUAUUAUAAGUGUUGUUUGUACAAUAAUCAGUUGUUGAGUAUUUGGUAAAUUUUUUGUGUAAAAGUGAUGUUAGCUGUGUAUAAUGACUAAAAAUGUCAUUAUGUUGAAAAGACUUUUCUGUUUAAGUGUUUGGUAAAAGGAAAAGCACUUUUACUUUAUCUUAUAUAUAUUUUUUGUAUUAAAUAUGUUUCCAUCACACUCUAAAAUGUAUUUUAAUUAUAAAAUAAAUAAAAUAUUUCAUUAAAAAUAAAUAUAUUGUCAAUAAUAUGGUCAUAACAAAAAUUAAGUUAGUCAUAAACAAACAAUCAUAUACAUUUUAAAGUAGAUAAACUCAUUAAACUUGCGGCUAUAUGAUUUCUCAAUGCCUCUAUUUCUUGUGUUACAAGACCAUCUUAUUGUUGUGCAUCAACCUAUGUCUCAAUCUCAUCACCUUGAAUACUAUUUAGGUCGUCUUCACUUUCAUCAAAAUGACAAUCACAUUUGGCAUGUCUUUUUAUAUAGUUAUGAAGUGUCAUGGUUGCAAUAACUAUUUUUACUUGUUUUGCAAAAGGAUAACUAGGCAUGUCUCCUAAAAUACUCCAUCUCUUUUUCCAUUCUCCAAAAGUGUGUUCAAUAACACUUUUAAGGGAAGAGUGUGCAUAAUUGAAUACCUCUUUAUGACCCAUCGGUUGAACACCCCUGUGAAAAUCAGGAAGAUGAUAUCUUUUGCCUUUAUAUGGUCCUUAGUAGCCUCUCAUUUGUGGGUAUCCCGUAUCUACUAGAUAAUAUUUUCCUAAAAAGAAAAUUUAAUUCAUUAUUCACAAUGUAAAAAACAUAAAUAUAAAUUAUGUGAAUUUAAAAAAAAUAGAAAUAGUACCAUUUGGAGGUUUUGGAAAAUUCAAACUUUCAUCACAUAAAGCUGAUAGAAUUAUCCUUGUGCCAUGGAUUGUGUCUUCUUGUAACACCUCGUCCCAAAAAUCACUGUACAAUUGAUUAUUUAUUGUGAAUUUAUAUUUUUGCCCUUGGAUGUAGGACACUUUAGCCACUUUUUGUUCGAGAAUGAAUUUGGGGAAUUGAGUGACACCGUUGCUUAGAGCUCGCCGAUACAAGUUCAUAGAUAGGCGGCAGGUUCAAUUCAGAGUUAAAACAAAGAAGUUAUGAUAUACAGAAGUGUAGUGGCACAACCGUAAUUUUUACGAAGUCAGAUUUUAAAAAGCUGGACAGCUUCUCUCUCACUCUUUGUCCUUCGUGAAAACAGACUGGCCACUUUGGCCGGUGUUUUCUCCUUCGUCCGGCGACGCCACAACUCACAAAACGUUCGUCUCUUCCUCCUCUUCACGUCCAUAUCCAUUUUUACCUUCGAAACUCCAAGAUUGGUCGCGAUUUUGGACUGGAACCGAGCGAAAUUCUCGUUCGUCACUCGACGAAGUUAUGCUAUUUCAGGUGAUUUCGACUGCCAAAUUCAUCGAGUGAGGUAUGAAAAUCCAUCCCUUCAUCAUGUUCUGCCUGUUUAUGUAAUUAGAUUGGAUCGAUUUUGAGGUUUUACAUAUCGAUUCUUAAACCUAUUUUUUGGCCAAUGGUUUCGACUUUGUUCCGGCUAGUUCCGGUCAAUUUUGGCGAUGGUUUAAGAACCAAAAAUGUUCCCCUAGGUGUACUUGAUCUAUUGGUAUUGGCAUUGUAUGGUGUUUUGACAAAUUUACGUCGCUGAAAAUUUCUCAAGACACCCACGAGCUGCCAGCGGUGGGUGGCAGCGGGUGGGCUACUGUGUGUGUGGCUUAUUGUGUUCUAAAUUGUUCCCUUUUGUCCUGAGUACGAUGGUAUACUCGAAUUUGAAAUUGGUUAUCAUUUGACAGUCGAACGGAUAUUGCACCUAUUAUGCAAUAUCCGGGUUCGAUAGGUUCGAACCGUUCAAUUGGUCCCAAUUUCAAAUAUGUUGUUCUCUGUACCUCUAGAAUCGUGUAGGAACUUGUUGAUCGAGAUUCAGAAUCCCAGAUACUCCUAGUCUAUGAUUCCAAGGUUAGGCGAACUAAUCAUUGUCCGAUUGGCUUAGAUUCGAUUGCUCGAUCGAGAUCAAAGUUUCGAGACUUGUUUAGUAGACUUGAUUGGACCUAUAGGAACUUUCAUAUCAGAAAUCAGAGGUCGUGGACCCCACAGGCCUAAUUGACCUAGAUGGUAGGCCUCGUUAGCCCAAUUGAGAGCUUUUCGUUAUGAGGUGUUUGUGGUCUAUUUGUUUGAGUUUAAAUUGGUAUUUUGCUAUGAGAGUUGUAUUAACUGUUUAUGAAUUAUUGUUCUAUACUGUUUAUGAAUUAUUGUUCUAUCGCUUUUAUUUUCCAAGCAUGUUAUACCUAUGUUUAUUUUUAUACAUGUGUUAAAUGGAUUAAUAAUUGGAUUGUGUUGCCUUUGGAAAUAUUAAUGUCUACGGACAUCUUGGUUGCCUUCGAAAAUGUUGUUGCCUCUGGAAAUAUUGAUGUCUUCGGACAUACAGUUGUCUUCUGAUAUAUGGUUGACUUCGGAAUAUUUUCGGACGUAUGGUUGCCUUCGGAUUGUCUUCAGACACCUUAGUAGCUUUCGGAUUUGUCUACAUGCAUAUGACAUUGCCCCACGAGUAUUGGAGACGCCCGAACAGUGUGGUGCCAUGUUACGCCCCGAUUUAAGAAUAGCGAUUAUCUCCGAAUUAAGGCUUGAAUCAUACCACAAUUAUAGAAACAAACUCCUAUAACUAUGAUAUGAUAAAAAUAGAGUCAAUAAUAUUACAAACUUAUUUAAUAAAAACAAAGUCAUAGUCGCAGUAACUCAUAGUUAGUUACACACACUAGCGUAAUAUUCCAACUAUUUAUUACAAACAGUAACUAACAACACUGAUCUAGUCCUCUAGUGGAACUUCUCAUUCCUCAGGAUUUGCAUUGGAACCUGCAUCAUCUAUUAGGGUGUGAGCAUUUUAAUGCCCAAUAAGGUACUGUAACAUCCUCCCUCAAAGCUAGCUAUCACUGCUAAUCAAAGUGGCAUGCAUUAAACAAUUACCUAAUAAAUGUGUUAUGCAUAUGCGAUGAUUUCAUGAACUCACUCCAUUCUAAACCCACUAAUUCAUACUUUAGGGCAUCAAACAUGCAUGUCCCAUACCAUGCAUUUUACCACUGUGGCUCCGAAUACCCUAAAAUAUAAAUUAGUACCCCUCUGUCCCUUACCCCAUAUAUAUUUUGUUUACGAAUUUCUCAACUUUCACUUUUCACUAGAGGCCCUACUUCCAUCACCUCAAUAUAUUCAAGCCCUACUCCUGUCAUUUGAAUAUAUUCCACAUUUUUUUAUACUCAGAUAUAUCUGAAGCCUUCUCCCACCCCUUAGAUAUACCUUAAACAACACACAAACCCAACACAACUGUAUUUAUGAUCCAUAUGUAAUGCAACUCAAACAUUCAUUAAUCUUUGCGGAAUGAUAAUAAUUCAAAUAAAAAUAAUAAUAUUUCAAAUUUAAUCACAUGGAUAGUAAUAUUCAUCCAACAUCAUAUAAUAUUCAAUAAACAUUCAUAAAACAAUAACAAUAGUAUUCACCUAACAAUACCCACCAAGCAAAACAACAAAAUAUUCAUAUUUAGUACUAUAUAUAAACAUCACGAUUAAAAGUGAUAUAGUCUAAUCAUUGGGGAAAAAGUUAGAGACCCUACCUCGUGUCCAAGAAGCUAAAAUGACAAAAUUACCCUUUGGAGGUUGCCAAGUUCUCUCCCGUUCCUAGAUUUGAAAAAAGAAAUAACAUAAAUGAGGUUAGAAUUUUUAAUUUUAUAAAAACACUUUUUCUCUUGACAUAGAGAGAGUGCACCCCACUCUCCAAGCUAAAACCCUCGAAAUGACCUGAAACCUAUACCAUCAUACUCGGAUUAAAAAAUCAAGCCGGAUUGACUAAAUAUAUGGUGUCGGAGGCUGUCGAAACAGCCGCCACUCGCUGAGUCGAGAGUGGGGUUGGCUUGCGGUUAUUGUUCAUCCUCUCCAGAAAUUCUGCAAAUUUUCCCUUUUUUUUAAGACCAAAAUCUAGAUUCUGUGAGACAUUUUUACUAACCAAAUGUUAACUAAAUUGGGAAAACUUACAAUGGUUUUGAAGCUUAAUACCUCUAGUUUCUAACACAAUAAACCACACUAAAAACGGAGCUAAAGCGAAGGAGAAAACCAGCUCCAAAGUUGGACUUGUGGCUGGUUUUCUACAGAUAACAUAUUUUUGUCCAAAUUUUGUGUUAGAUAAAAAAUGUAAUGAAGAAAUUAAAAUUCACCCAACAUAAUCUCACUCUUAUUUACAAAUAAGAGUUUUUAUUUUUAAUUGAGUAUGACCCAUUCAAGAUAAAAAUAUCUCUUAAUUAUAAUCUCUUUGGAAAGAGAAAACCCUUUGAUUCCAAUGUAAAGAGUGAAAUAAAUAAUGGAAUUUGAUGUUACGGCUGCAUCCAGGGAACUCUAGACUGCCUACAUAUACCCCAUUUUGGGGAUCAAGCCUUUUGUAGUUCUCGAGAGAAUUUGAUUGGACUUUCAAGGAAUGAAUGACUCCUUGAAAGAAUUUGUGGUAUGAGAAAUAUUUUAUGGAAUUUGGAUGAAUGUGGUUGGACCAGGGAUUCAAUUUGAUUUGUGGAUGAAAAAGUGUUUGGGCGAAUUUGGUUAAGGUGCACCAGAGAUUCUGUUUGGGCUUGAGGUUGUAUUUGGAUUGAAUUUUCAAAUUGCCUACGUAUCCUUAGUGGAAUCAAACCGGACGUAGUUCUUUGAAAAUUUGAUUGGACUUUCAAAGACUGAAUGACCCCUUGAAAGAAUUUUAUGUUUGAGAGAUUUGAAUUUGAUCUCAUCGAAAUUUGCAUGGUAGAUGACCCAUGAGAAAAUUUGGAAUGGUUUUGUACCAUUUUUUAUUGUUAAUGUCCAAAGAAAAUUAAAAGGCAUUUUAAUGAACCCAUUAAUUUACUCACAUAUGGUUUUAAAAAUUUAAGAAAAUUGAUCCAUUAACCACAUAAUUUAUUUGGACCACCCAUCAAGUAUUUUGGCUUUUGAGAGUUAAUGGGUAAUUUGUUUUGUCAACCCAUCAAUUUGUUUUCGGACCUUAACAUUUCCAUUAAUUGGCCCAUAAUAAAAAAAGUCCAGGUCAGAAAAGCUUUGAGAGCCAGCUGCAUUUGAAACCGAUAUCUAUUUGGAGUAGUAGAGAUCAAUCUAAACUGAGUCACUCCCAUCUUUAUAUGUAGUAGUUCAAAUCAAUUUAAACUGGACCAAAUUAUAUAUCUCUUCGACUACUCAUCUGCCACAAUCAAUACGGAGCCUUCGGUUUGAGACGCCAAAACCAAGGCAAGACCUUUCCUUUGCUCAUGUCUGUCAAACUUGGGCUACAUAAACCAUUAAAAUAUUAAUUGGAAGUAUUGGGAACUUAAAGGCAGACUUAGACUGCAUAACCCAUUACAAUAUUAAUUGGAAGUAUGGGAGCUUAACGGCAACAAUGUCUGUUUAUUAAAGUACAUAGGUACUUUUCCUUUUCUUUGUCCUUUUUUUUUGCUUUUUCUUCUUUGUUUUAUUUUUUUUUUGUUUCUUUCAGUAAUACGAAACUCCCUUUUUUUGUUGCUUUCUUCUUCAAUCUUGGGCAUGGGAGGAGAGCUUACUUUGAGCAAUGAGUUUCUUGAUUUUUUUUGGUCUAAAGACCAAAUUUUGGUUUGAAGAAAAGUUGCUGGCAGCAAGCUGUGCAUCCAUUUAGCUUUGGCAAGUCUUUCUUCUUCUCUCUUUGGUUUGUGUCUGUGUUUGUUGCCUUUGAACACCUGCAUGAUUUUCAUCAAGUAUGCCUAUGAACACCUUCAAGGUGCUCAUAGCACUUAAUACAAUGGGGUUCUGGCAGAAGCCCAUAUGCAUAUUUUCACAAUAGGGAGGUCCUUGCGAGGGCUCCUUCUUGUGUGAUUUCUUGAGAUUUCUCUAAUAGUAGAGACAUGGUUUCUUCAGUUAUUUUUCAAGAAUGAUGAAUUUCUUUUGCCUGCAGUAGUCUCAUGAGACUUCUUUGACAGCAGAGACAUGGACGAAUUUCGCAGCGCACAUUCUCAAAGCCUUUAUGGCAAACAGCAUUGGAAGGGGACUUUGAACUUUGAUAGGAAAUCUGUCAUCAAUUUGGUGCCCUAUGACUGUUAUUUUAAAGGUCGACUUCUGUGGGAUGCUCAGGAAACGUCAUUUACAGAGGCUUGUUUAAUUAAACUUUACAUAAGAUGUUUGAGUUUUGAGCAGCAAGGGAAUAUACUGCACAGAGAAACAUGAUGAAAUUUCCUGGCAAAAGAAAUAAACUUUAUACCUUCCCUUUCUUCUACCCUUUUCUUUGUCUUCCUCCUUAAUCAGAAUCCCAGCAGCCUCUUCGUUUUCUCUCUGGUCUUCUGCCUUCUUUCCUCCAGCAGCUUUUACUUUUGUCUCCUUUAGACUUCUCACCCCUGCUUUCUUUACUUUUUUGCCUCUGUUUCUGCCUCCCCUUUUUUCUUUGGUUCAUGUCUUUUUAUAGGCAAAUAGGUGAGUGGCAGUUGAGGGAGACUGUUUCUUCUCAGAUUGUGCCAUCGUUUUGAUAAGUGGAGUGGUGGGAGAUAAACUGCUCCAUGCACGAUCUCACCUUGACAUUCUAUUUUAUUUCUUUUAAUUUCUUUUGAGAGUGGGGCUGUAAUGGGAAUUUUUUCUUAGAGAUAAAUAUAUGGGAUUUUAUCUCUAGGCACGUCAUUUUGUUGUUGAGUUCUUCAUUUUGGGCCUCGCUUGAUUUAGAAUUGAUUUGUUAUAGCCCAAAUGCCUAUCCAAAUUAAUCUGAUAGGUAUGAAAUUUUUUAUUUCAACAUUUUGCACUAGUGUUUGACGUAUCAAACUUCAACAAAAUUCAAUGAAACCAAUUGUAUUUUGUUCCUUGCCAUGUCUAGUUUAAAUUCCAAUAAAUGACUUUCUCAAGUAAUCAAAGUAUUGGGAGAAAAAAAGAGCCAAAAUGAGGCUCGUGGGCUGAAAAUUUCUAGAAAAUUACAUUUUUCAGAUUUUGUUCUAAGUUGUUUUCAACCAUUCUAUCACCCCCAGGUUGUUCCUAAGGCUUCGUAAAACUCAAAAUGAAACCAAAAUCAUCAACACCCACAAUUGAAAAAUUGCUCUAUCCACCCAACUGAAAAUGGAAGUUCAAACUCUUCCAAUUCAAUUUCCCCAACACUCAAGUGACUCAAAUUACUCUUUAAGGGACUAAAAUCAUACAACCACAAAGUUAAAAACAAAAAAUUCGAAAUUGACUCACCUUAGAGUUUUUUUUCUUCUCUUUCUCCUAUUCUACCUUCUCUUCCUCACCCAAAUUCCAUCUCCUUCAUCCUACAAUCUUAUCUUAGUUCAAGCAAUUAUUACCCUUAGCCUAGACUAGGUGAUUCAUCUAUAAUAGGUGAACAACUCACCCUAAUUUGAGAUCAAUAUCAGAUUUUGAAGGGAAUGUAUAAGGGAAAAGGGGAAGAAUGAAGGGAAGAACAUGGUUUUGCUUACACGUUGCAAUUUUUUUUUUUAAACAUUUAAAAUCUCAUAAUUAAGGUUAAAUAAAUAAAUAAAUAUAUAUAUUUUAAAAUAAAUUUAAUAUAUAAAUUUUUUCCUAGAUGUUACAUGUCAGGAUUUGCGUUCUCAGGUUGAGUAUAUCUCCCUGAAUUAUGCGAGGGGAAUUGAUGGAUUAUUUGCGUUUCAUGUUAAGUAUAUCUCCCUACGAGGAUUUCGUUAUCAAGUUGAGUAUAUCUCCCUGAGUUUUGUGAGGAAUGCGUCACAGGCCGACCAUGUGUUCCUUAAGUUAUGAGAGGAUUGCGUCUCGGGCUGACUUUGUGUCCCUCAAGUUAUGCGAGGAUAUAUCACACAUGUGUGGUACUUGGAAUUGACGGUAUAUUAUUGAAAUUGAUGGAUUAUAUUUGAGGUACAUCUAUGUGGAGAAUACUGUAGCACCAAUGUGUGGUAUAGUUAACAAGAUAUUCUUCACCACCCUACUCAUAUUAUCUGCACAGGGUUGGCCAGGAUUCCUAUCCACCUGCCUAAUUUGUCUACACAGGUAGUUAGCUUGUUUCCCCUUCUCAUGUUGCCUUCGGAUUUGAUGGUAUUCCCAUAUACUCCUUGGUGGGUGAUUACAGUAUAUAUACACUAUGCGGAUGGUUGCAAUUAUGGCUUUCUGGUAAAAGGUUUGGUUAUGUAAGUAUUUGAAUGUACAAUGAUAAGCUAAUUGAAUAGUUAGGUACAUAAUUUCCAGGCAUGAUAUUCAAUUAUACAACUUGUUGAAAUAAAAGUAAAGAAUGAUUCUAGAUUUUAUUGUUGGUUUCUUGAACAAUAUUAUAUUAGCUGAAUUGUGAUUCAUGGUAGAAAGAACUACGUUUGGCUUGAUCCCUCAGUAAGGGUAUGUAGGCAACCUAGGCUAUAGAAGCAGCCACAAGUUUAUGAUUUGUUUGUUAUGUUCAGUUUUGUAACGUUGAUUUUGCUUACUUUAUUAUGUUGGAAAACGGGGGCCUAAAGCCCAUUAAAACUUUUGCUAAUUGAUGUGUGGUUUAUACCUUGUGCUUGCUGAACGCUUAGGAAAUAAUUGUGUUUGUUGUGCAAGUAGAUUUUUGGGUUUUGAGCCUUUUUCAGAGGAGACUCUGCCAGUUUUUAGGAUGGUCACUCGUGCCUGACACUUGCCAGGUGUUGGACACGCACUAAAGUGGAAUUUGGGUCGGGUCUUGUGACUUCCCAUCCGGCGCAUGUAAAUAUAAAUUGCAUGUAACCAUCACAUUUUGGGUAGGUAUCCCCUUUCUACCAAUAAAUGGUAUUUGAUUAUAAGGAGAUAUUGUGGCUUGAAUAUGAACAUCAUCUAUAGAACCAAUACAAUCCUACAAGUGAUAAAAAAGACAAACAUAAUAUUAAUUAUAACAAAAUAAAAUAUAGACAAAUAUUUAAGAGUAGUAGAUGCAAUAGUAUAGAAUCUUGUAGAAUUUCUUUUGGAGUGUUGUUAAACGCAUUUUCUAAUGGUUUAAUUACAUCCGCAAUUAAACGACAUACAACAUCAAGUAGGAUACUAAAAUAUAUGCUCACAGUCUCACUAGAAUGUUGAAAACAAUCUUAUGCUUGCCUAUUUGCACAACCAUGUCCUAAGAUGUUCAAGAACAUCCCUAACAUCUCUGCAUCACUCAUUCUUCUUGAACCUUUUAACCCAUAAUUGUUUUGCAAUUCAUCACACAAUUUUAUAAAUACAUCUUUUUCCAUCCUAAACAUAUUAUAGCAACGACUUUCAAUUCCUUGUAACACUUCUGUCAACCAAAUAUUUCUUGUAUGAUGGUCAUUCAUACACGGGGUCUUAUGAAUAUAUUUCACAUAAUAAAGUUCAAUAAAACGGACAGUGACGCAUAUAAUUUAGUUGAUCUCCUCCUCAUCUUCUGGAAUAGACAUGUUCUAAAAUAACAUGCAAAUGUGUUUAUUUCCUUCAAAUAUCAUUUUCACUGUGCAUGCAUGUUUAUAUAACAUAAAAUAUGACAAUAAUUAACAUAUCACUCACAAAUUCAAAUAAAUUAACAACACAACAGCAAAACAUAAAUUAAAGUCACCAAACUAUCAAAUUCUAGCAUUCAGCUAACUCAUGAUUAAGAAAUUGAAGCUUGAGGUCAGGAUCUUCCAUGACAACAAACAUCUCUAUCUUAUCUUGAGCACAAAACAACUUAGUUGCAAACCACCACAACUUGCUACCACACUCUGUCCCAGGUAAAGUUGCAACAUCAUUCAUCACUUCAGCAAUACUAGUUCCUUGUGAAACUGUAUUAGCCAUUGAUGUUCCAGUACUCAUACUCUUAACCACCUUAACAAGACGUUCAAUUGCAAUGAUAAUUUUGCAACACCUCUCAUUUUCUCCCAUAAUUUACCUUUCUUCUAAUUAUUAUCUUGAAUUUCAAGUGAUUGAUUAGUUCUCUUUCUUGGCACAUUGUUUGUAGUUUGAGUGGUUUCAAUUGGUAAUUCGAAUCAUCGUUAACUUCAAGUGGAUUGACAUAAUCAUCACUUUAAAUUAGAAGUACACCAAAUAAAGGUGCCCAAGAAUGCUUACCAGUGGUUGUGACGUUCAAAAACAUCAUAUCUAACUUCUCCUCCAUCUCAGGACUAAUACCCUCAAGUUGGAAUAUUGCAUAUUUGGAUUAUGCUUGCAUUAUGACACAUACAAAUAUUAUAAUGAAUUUUUAAACAUAGUUAUAAAAAAAAAAAAAGGAUUAAUUUUUCUCCCCCAUUACCACCACUUGCACCACCUCUCCCUUGCAACCUCCACCUCCACCCUCCCCACAACCCCGACUUCCACCAAGCCACCUCUCCCAUCACCGCAACUCUCCCUCGCAUCCCCCACCCUCCCUACACCAAGCCACCCCUCCCUCCACCACAACUCUCUCUCUCUCUCUCUCUCUCUCUCUCUCUCUCUCUCUCGCUCUCUCUCUCUCUCUCUCUCUCCAGCACCCACAAUUUCGAGCCCACCAUUAUUCCCUAACCCAAAAAAUCAGAAAAACAAAGGCACACUUUUAAUUCCAAUUCCAAUCCGAUCAAACCCCAAAACUCACCCAAAAGAAAAAAAAUUGUAUUUUCAGGAGCUGAGACUUUAGAAAAAAUGUCGGAGAUGGCAAAGAAAGUCCCUUCUCACCCACCCGCUCCCACAUCCCCACGCUCCCUUCUCUGCCGCCCUCAAUCCCUUCUCACGUGUCGACUUCGCCGCCAAUAUCUGGAUCUGCCCUUUCAGCAACUAUCGCAAUUACUUCCUGCGUGUCGACAUUACCGUGAUCAUUCUAUACAUCAAAAAAUGAAAUUUGUCAGUAACAAGAAGCUCCAUUUAGAACUGAAGAACAACCAAACUUACUAUUAAUGAAGUAGGUACUACUAAUAUUCAUUCUUGAGCAAAUGUAAUAAAAAAAAUAUAAAAAAUAUAAAUAAAAAAAAAGGAGUGAGAAAGGCAUAGAUUAAAUAACAACAUUUUUAAUUAGCAGAAUGCUGAAAAUAUAACAUGUGCAUAAAUACAAUUUUGUCAAAUGGAAGGAAAAGCGCAGUACUAGCUUGCAUGGUGGAAAAAAAAAUAUUUUAAAAUAGAAACAAAAGAAGAAAAUGAUAAUUUAUUCAUAACCCAUCUACACUUCCAAUAUGAAUGAACAUCCAUGGAAACUUUAGAAGCUAUUCACCUUUGGCACAAUCCUAUUAACAGCGUCAGGUUGAUCCAAGGGUUCAAGUUGCCACUUGCCAUAAAGUUCGAUAGUUCAUUUUGAAUUGCCCCCAACAUUAUUAUCAGAUUUAGGGUCCUGUACUUUGUGGGUUCUACCCUCAGUACAUAACCCUCCAGUAUGUCGUGUCGGUCGAUUCAGCUACCCCUCAAUCUUUGCCAUCGUCGAUCUUCGUCUUCGUGCUCAACACAUGUAUGAUCGAGGAGAAGAGAGUAAUUUUGGGUGUUGGAGGUGAGAGAGAGAGAGAGAAGAAGAAGAAGAAGAAAUCUCGGGGGGAGGAGGGUGGGGGGAGAGAAAUAAGGAGGAAUGAAGGGGGUUGCGGGCUGGGAUGGAGGGUGGUUGUGGGAUGGGUUUGGGGGUUGGAGCUUGCGGGUGGUGGUCAUGGGUGAAUAGAGGGAGAAGAAAUCAACGGGGAAGAGGGAGAGCAUAGAGAGGAGAGUUUUAUUUUUUUAUUCAUAUUUUAAUCAAUUUAAAAUUUAAAAAAUAAAUAAUGUGGGACCCAUAAUGUCAUGUAGGCAAUUAACGGAGAGAUCUGACGGGAACCCUAACGACAGAACCACAUUGUAACAAAUUUAAAAGACCAAGGUAUGUGAUUGUUAAAAUUGAAAAGACAAGGACUAACAUGCCUUAAGGGUAUAACCAUAGGGUACUAAACUAUAAUUAACUCUAAAAAAAAAAAAUGGAUAUCAAUACUAUAUUAAAACAAGAACAAAAAAUUCAAAUAUCUGAAUUUUAUCUUACCACCAUUCCUCAGAUGCAUCAAUAGUAUUCUUAGCGACAUUCUACCCAAGACCAGUUUCCUUCCUUUUUAUAUCUUUCCAUAAUUUCCAUUCUUUUUUUUAAAAACAUAGUAAAUCUCACUUGUUUUUCAAUUGUAAUUUUUCAUAUGAUCUUCCUAUCUCUUUGCUAAUAUUUGUAACCAACCUUGCCUAUCCAACUUUAUUAAAGUGAGUACUGAGACGAUUGCAUAGAUCCACCUCUAUGAUACAAAGGUCAAUGAAGAUAGCUAUAGUUUGAGAAUUCCACAAUGCUGACAAUUUUUGGGAUCUACUUGCAAUGUUUUUAGUUGUGAUGAAGUUACUAUUCUUUUUUGCCAUCUUAGUGCAACAAAGACAUUAUAUAUAAGCACAAAAUAAAAUAAUAGAUUUACAAGCGAAUUACAAUUCCUUAUAUGAGUUACAAUUGUUAGAGUUUUUAUAGGAAAAAUACACUUGCAUUUAGUCCCACAUUGGAAGGGAGUUGUUUCCUUCCAUGGUGUAUAAGCACCAACACUUUAGGGGCUCGUUUGGUACGUCGGACUGUACUGACUAAUUUUUGUCGGAUAGUAUUAAUUUGUUCCGGAGAGUACUGACUAUUUAUCCAUAAUAUUAUAAGGCGUUUGGUGCUGUUCCGGAUAAAUAGUCAGAGUAAGUUAUACUGUGUUUGGUGAUGUUCCGGAUAACAUCAGAUCAGACUAUUUUUAAAAUAAAAAAAAAUUUCUUUGAUAAUUUUAAUGAAAAUUGAGAUUCAAAUGACACAAAUUUUUUUUGGUAAGAUUCAUAUGACAAGAUUUGUUUUUCAAUUGUUUUUGCCAAUAUUUUUUUUCUUCAUAUAACCCAUUUAUCAUAAUUGUAGUAUCUCAUAAAAAUUCCAACAUAUUCGCAUACGUUAAUAAAAACAGUACCAAAUAAUGUAUAAUUCAAAGUGAUCACAUACUAAGGUGAUAAGAGUAAAAGGGAAAGUUGUUCAUAAACCAAACUACAUCAAAGAGUGAAUCACAGCACCCUCGUCCCAAGUAAGAGAAGAACAAAUGCUUUUCUCAUAGCACCAUCCAAUGUCAAGAAUGUUCUCUCAUCACUUGCUUUCUCCAAAAUUAGCCGUAGUGCCUUAAUUUGGUCAUUAAUAGACAAGUCCAUCUUUGCCAAUUCAGCAGCAAUGUCAGGUCUUGGUUCUGAUCCUUUCACCAAACUAUUAGUUAUAGUUUUCAAUUGGUCAAUAUACUCAGAAAUCAUCUCACCAAAUGCUUUAGCCAUUUCCUUUCGAAUAUCAAUAUCUGCUACUCAUUGUACGAUUCUUCACAUGAUGUGCUAGUGUAUGUAAAAACAUACACACUUGCUCUUCUAUGAUUACUAAACCAUUUGUUCUCACUCUCGCAUCAUCACAGACCAAUUGACAUAAAUAAUGGAAAGUUCUCCUAUCCAUCCUAAUUUGAUUCACACAUUGUAUGUCAUUAAUUCCUAUAAUAUUAUCUAAAUAAUUUGACCGAGUUGCAAUCCCGAAAAACCUUUGACUCCUACUGGCAUUCCGUUGUUGGCGUCGUUGUUCCAAAUUGUAGUUUGUCAUGAAUCACAUCAUGCACCAAACCAUGAUAUGCAAGAACCACAAUCUAAUAAUAAAGUAUACCACAAUCUUUCUUUCAUCCAUAUCUAGGCAUAAUCUAAAGGAAAUUUUUUCAGUAAAAGUAAUAUAAAUAACCAUGCAUUAAUUUUAGCAAUAUAAAUAAUCAUGUACAACAAGAAGGAGAAAGUAGCAGCAGAACAGAAGCAUUGCAAUCAAAAGAGCCAAGGCCACAAGCUUGGGAAUCGUAAAAAAAUGGAUAUCAACAUUGCAAUGUUGGUUUUUAUAAAGAGAGCCUCCUCUUACUUUUUUUUUUUCGAUUUAGCUUUCAUUUAUGUAAGUAAGCAUAACCUAAUUUCAAAAACGAAAAAUACAUAACCUAAUUCCACAAAAAUUUAAUAAAAAAAUUGAAAUAUAUACAGAAUAGAGAAGAAGCAAGAAGAAGCAUAUUGGAGAGAGAGAGAGAGAGAGAGAGAGAGAGAGAGAGAGAGUGAGUGAGAAUGAGAGAUGGAUAUCUGGAGAAGAGUGAAGAAAAUAACCUUUGGAGAAGAUAGCAGAGAAAAACCUUAGAGAGAAGAAGAUGAAAAGAGCGUUUAAUUUUUUUUCGUAGAAUGCGUGCUUAGCUGUAUAAUUAAGCGUGUAUUAUCUAAACCGGAGUGUGUGGAUUGUAUUAGUUAGUCAGGUAAGGAGAGUAUUAAAAGCCCAACCCGUAUAAAAUAGUCAGGUAAUUAAAUAAUACAAGUUGACACCAAACACUUGACAUAGACUAUUUACUCCUAUCCAGAGUCUAAUACGGUGUACCAAACGAGCCCUAGAAACACAAAAUAGAGUAUGGGCCUAGUAGAGGCAAAGUUGGGCCUCAUCUAUUAGCACUGGGAAACCUGGUGGAUAAAUACCUUUCUCGAGCCAAGCACGAAACAGACAAUCUAGAGGAGCAUAUUAGAGAAGGAUCGCUGGACCUUGCAAGGAUGUCAAAUUCAGAGUUUCUAUCGAGGAUAGAGACUAGUCAAGCUCCAACGUUGUUUAAAUGACAUGAGAAGAAAUUGCAUGUUUGUCUUGUAUGAAUGAGUCAAUUGGAACCUCAUAUCAGAAACAGGAAGCCGAAGGAUAACAUCGGCUAACUCUUGGCUGCCAUUCACUUCCCAAUUGAGAUGGGGGAGAGAAUGUUGUUUCUUCAUUCCCAAUGGCCUAAUUUUCCACAUAUGUAGCAUAAGUCAAUAAGUCCCUCGUAAAAAUAUUCCACCCAGACGGAUUGGUAAAAAAAUAUUGGAAGCUAGAACUGCGUCGGAAAAGGCUUGAGGGAAUCAAUGACAACCUUCACUCUGAGAUAUCCCCUCAGGAUAGCCUUGCAAGUCAUGUGAUCUUCCACAUCAAUAACCUUCCUAAUCUUGUCCCAAUCAUCUUUGCAUUUGCCAAGUUCAUCUUUUCAAGAGUAAGAGUUGAAACUUGAACCCAAUAGGGUACCAAAUGGUCUUGGACUUCCUCAAUCGUGAGGUUUGAAGACCAGACCACCACAUUGAAGCAAUAGUUCAUGAUACUCUAAAGACCACCCUCAUUAGAUGUAGUGAUAGUGAAGAGAUUCUUCUUAUAGUGUGCUAUCAUAAGACUUCUAAAUUGAGCUUAUGUAGACGUAAAUACACCUUUAUACUCCCAAUAUUAGGAGUAACAUAUGCAAUAAUUGCUCCCACCAACACAACAUUUGAACAUGCCUUAUUAAGUCUCAAAGAGUCAUCAAGCUGAAAGGUAAGAGAAUCAGCAGAGCUCAUGGUGAAGACCACACAUGACUAGGAUAUCAAGGGAAAGAGAUAAGGUAACAAGACAAAGGGACCCGAGGGAUAGAGAAACGUAAAGGAGAAAAGGAGCUAAUAAGGACUAGCAGAAAAUGAGGGAAAUGUACCAAAAAGUUAGAGCCAUAAAAAACUACCAUUUGGGUAUAGGAGAAAGAACCUACAAAAAGGGGAAAGCUACAAACGAAAGGACCAACCUCAACCAAUAGAAGUCAACUAGGUUACUCAUUGGAGGAGACACACGGUAUACGGAACCAUCCCCUUGAGAGGAAAGGCUCAAGUGUAUUAUGGUCAAUUGGUCUAAUCACAUUAGGCAAGUUGAGAAAGAGAAACCUUAAUGACACCCACGAGACACCCCUUAAUUCAAUUUCAAACACAAUUCAAACCUCCCACCCCCUUAAUUCAAUUAUAAAAGAUUUCAAAUAUGCCACCCUUAAUUCAAUUACAGUUCAAAUCUCCUCUAAAUAAACACUCACAUGUUUCCAAAAUAGUCCAUUUUCCAAUUCUCUCUACUGUAUAUUUUUCCAAAAUAAUCUUUUCUAUUUUUAGAUUAUUCCAAAUCUCUAUUAUGGAUAUAAGGAAGCUAUGUGUAUCUAGUGUCUAGAUCUAUGAGGCCGUUAUAUUUUACCAAAAAUGCCUUUGGUGAUGAGAUUGUUGGCUAGAACACCAUCCCCAUCUCCAUCGAUUCUUGUAAUUAUACCUAUGAAAUGAGGUUGAGCUCCACCACCCUACUCAUAACAUGCACCUGGGACACGUAAGUCUACUUGAUAUUUGUUUUUCUUUUUAAACACAAGUUACAAUUUGGGAUUGACAAGGGGAUGGUACAACUGCACUGGAGAAUAUAUAGGAAGAUGAACCAAGUAAGAAGAGGAGAAAGGUGCCAGAAGUAGAGGCUUAAUGUGACAAGCAAGGGAAACUACAUGCAUGCAUACUAACUCAAAAUGGAAUAGACUGGUAUAAGACUUAUCAUAUGAUUAUUUUAUUUCUAUAAUCAAACAUGAAUUCUACCUAAAAUGUAUAUUCUUGUGUAUCUUUGUAUGUAUAUGCACAUAUAGAGUUGUACGUAGCAAGAUUAUAACUUGUACCAGCUGUGGUUUAUACUAUUGAAAAAUUUAGGUAUUUAUUUACUUGCCAUAGGUCAAAGUUCACUAGAUGAGGUAUCUAUUUACUCACCAAUGUUGCUCUUGCUCUUUCUAUGCUUAUUUAUGCUUUCUUUAAAUGUGUUGUUUAUGUAUUUUAGCUUCAAUAAGUUUUCAUAUUCUUUCGAUAAGGAAUUUAUUGAACUUGUGUAUACAUAAUGAGAAGGGAGGGAUAUUGUGCAUGAUUGAUGGUCUUUUCACUUGCUUUAUGCUUAGUCAGUCUUCCCCAUAACUCUACAUAAUUAACUUGGAACAUGUUUUCUUGCUUAAUUGGACUCAUUUAUUUAAUUCAUAUGUCUACCAAGAUGAAUUUUCACGUGCCUGCAUUGCCUUGCACUGCAUUGCACUAAAGGUAGUUUCUCGAAGGUGGCUUGUUGAUCUUUUUUUUAUUGUUUAGGGAUCUUUCUUUGUUUAGUUUCCAUACCUUUGUAUGGUUAUCCUAAACCCACACCCAAAAUUACACACCCACAAUGCCAAAAUUGUUCCCACUACCCAACUAUUUCUUCUUCUCCACGCCAUGCAAAGCAGUCACACACUAACACACUCAAAAACCUUCCACAUUUAUCUUUGAAAAUCGAUGUCCAACCUAGACCAUUGAUCAUCAGACUAGACACCAGCAACUCAUUUGCACGCUCUUAUCAUAGAUAACAUCAAUUUGACUUCCUUUCUUACAAAAAAAAAAAAAGGGCACUACAUUGUGGAACCAUAAAUUCACUUCAUAGCCCAGAGCAUGCCAAUUGGGGCUACUAGGGAGCAGAAGGACCAAUCUGUCCUUACUAAAAUGAGAGGGAAUUAAAUUGGGCCGAAGCAAACCCAUUUAUUUAUAUCGUUUCACAAUUUGCAAUAUGUAAGGUUUCAUGAUUAGUAUUGGAUUGGAUUGGAUAAUUCACCAAAUUUAAGCUAUGUUGGAAGAGGAAAUGCAGGUAGAUGUUAAGGAAUUUUCAUUUUGAGGGGAUUAGAAGGGAUAACUUAUAAAGUGUUGUUAUCCUAUUAUUUGAGUGGAUUGCAUGGGAUAAGAUUCCUUCAUGGGUGAUCCUUCUUCUAUCUUCAACUUGGACAACAUUUCUUCAUGUCCUCACUCAACAUGUCUUAAAUAUAGUAAGUUAUCCAAUCCAAUCCUAGUCACCAAAUAUGGAUCAUGGCAUAACAACAGUAAUACAAUUCGAGAGUGUAGCGAUCCAAACUAAAUCGCACCUAUACUUAAAGUUAAUUGACGAACUGAGUAAACAAAUGGACCAUUUUGGUAUUUAUCACAAUUUAUAUCGUACAGAGCCAUGGUCUUGGGGUUUGUCAUUGUGCCCAAAUUGAAAAUUUUAGGUUCGGGUCGAGCUUUAAGGGUUUUUUUUCUUCAAGUCGGGAUGAGGUUUCUAAGGGCUUGGCCUGGGCCAGCCCAUCGAGUCGGGCUUGGACAUGCCUAAUGGGCGCCACCAUGGACCUAAACGGGUUGGGCUAUUUAAUUUUUUUUUCCUAAAUCUUUUAAAUCUUUUUUUUUAAACACCUUUUUUUUGUCAAAAUUGAUGGAUAAAGAGUCUUCUCUUAAACAACAGUAAAGAUUACUACAUAACUUUAAAAAAUAUAUAUAUACACCAAAUUCUUUUACUAAACCUAGACCAAGCAAUAGCCAAUAUAUUUUAAAAAUAUUAUACCUAAAAAUGAAUCUUAUGAAAAUGUGUUACUUCUAUCCCAAACUAGGAUUGACAUCAUGAAAAUUAAAGCAAUUUGUGCCAUUAGAAUUAAUAAAACCAAAAUAAGCUUUCAAAUUCUUUAUUGAACCAUUAAAGUUGAACUUGACAAAAAAGGGGCACUAAAAGAUAUAGUGUAUAUAUUGCUUAUUUGUUACAAAAUUAACUUAAUUUAUAACAUGCGUAAACAAAAUAAGAAAUUUAUUAGUUUAUUAUACAUAUUACAUUUUUUUUUAAGGACCUUUCCUAUUGAAAGGGGCGAUAGCAUAUUAAACUCACACACAUAACACGGAUGCUAGAACUCAAACCCAAGACCUUGCAUAUUACAUUAUUUUAAUUAAGUAUAAAAUGAGGUUUAGGAUUGCAUCAAUUAAAACUUUCAAAAAAAAGGGCAUAGGCAGGUGGGCCGAGAGUCUCAAAUUGUAAGCUCAAAUCCAACCCAAUUUUAAAAUGGGGUUGAGUCAGAUUUUGGCCUAUCGAGCUUCGGACUACUCACUUUGACCCGAGUGCACCGCGGACCAAAUGAUGAACCCUCCUUAAAAAUAAAAAAAUAAAAAAUUAAAGAAGAAGAAGAAAUCAUUUUUAGGAAGCGCACCAAACUAGGACCACCAUUGACAGACAGAGACUUUUUGCUUCUGCUCUUUUCUUUUUGUUUCCCCCAGUUGUCAUAAGACCAUUCAACAGACGAGUAACAGAGGUAGAAUUGGGGGAAUUAGGUUUUUUGCUUAAUGCAAUCAGUCUAAAUAUAAACCCUUGAGCAAUUUCACUGUUUGGUUCACUCGCUCGUAAUUCAAUGGUGGAUCACUCAGACGCUUCGCCUCUCAUCGCUCCGGCGCCGGUCGCCGAGCCCAGCGAGAUCGACCUGGAAGCGGGCCCUGGUGAACAAAUCCAAUGCCGAAUUUGCCUUGAAAGUGAUGGUAUGUCUUGUCCAAUUUACUUCUGUUUUAUUAGGUUUUGACAAUUCGCUCAAUUGGGUGUUUGGUGUCUGAUAAAAAGAUUAAGGAGGAGUGUCGAAUUUGUAAAUUUGAGUUCAUGUAUUUCUGUUGGCUUGGAUUUGGAAAAUUGUCAUUUCUCUUUUCAAGUCAACUAACCAAUUAGUCUUGCAAAUGGCAAUGUUACAGAACUCUUUUCAGAGUGAUGGUUCAUUUACAUAGUUAAAAUUUAUUGUUAAUUUUAGGGUAAAAGUGUAAAGCUGUACUUUUUUUGUUCCUUUUAAAUGCUAAGUGGUGAGUAAAGUAAUGUAGCUUAUCAGUGGGUUUUUUGCUUUCUAUUUCCACUCAGGUAGGGACUUCAUUGCUCCUUGCAAAUGCAAAGGGACUUCAAAGUAUGUUCACCGGGAAUGUUUGGAUCAUUGGAGAGCUGUAAAGGUUUGGUUGCCAUCUAUAUUUUGCUUCUUUUUCUUUUCCAAAAUUAGUAAUGUAACCCCAUAUUAUACUAUUAUAGUUUGGCAUGCAAGCUUAGUGAUCCCAUCCAUCUACUAUAUCGUUUCUGAUUGCUUCUUGCUUUUAUUACUAAACAAAGCCGUGGUGUAUGAGCAUGUUCUGGAAUUCACUAAAACCCACUUUUAGCUGUCAUCUAACUAUCCCUUUUGAUUCUGGGACACUGUCCUUGUCUUUGAACUUCUAGUAUUGGUGUAAUUUGAAUUUAUUGAGAGAGAGAGUGAUUCUGAGAUCCUGUGUUUGCUGUCAUCUAAGGGCUCGUUUGGGAGUGAUUUUGGAUACCAUAAUCACUUUUGGGAAGAAGCAUCUCCCACGUGCUUCUCCAUAAAAUCACUUAAAAUCACUUCAAGUUAUUAUAUGGAGAAGUGAUUCUCCAUAUAAGUGCUUUUUGGCCUAUCCAGAAUCACUCCCAAACGAGCCCUAACUAUCCCUUUGAUUCUAAGGUGCUGUCCUUAUGUUUGAACUUAUAGCAUGGGUGUAAUUUGAAUUUAUUGAGAGAGACACAGAGAAUCGUGUCUACGCAUUUGUUUCUUUUACAAAAAGAAAGAAAGAAAAAGAUUUACUUUAUAAAUUAUAAAAAAUCAGAAUGCACAUAGUUGCUAUUUGGAAUCUAGAAUGAUGUGUCAUUUAUGCACAUUAAAAUGUGCUUGUUGCAGUUAAAAUAUGAAAUGAAGUUUAUUGAAGUGAAGUUCCUUCAACACCAAUGUCUCUAGCAUAAUGAAAUGGAAUCGACAUAUUGAUAGGUUGCAAUGUCAUGAUUCGUUUAUCUCCUGUUGUGUUAAGAGGAUAUUUACAACAGUGUGUCUCGCAGGUGUAGGAACAGGUAGCAAAUUAGUUUUUCUUUCCUUGUUGCACGACUAAUUCACUAAGUUUUAGACUUUUAGUGUGUUGCAGUAAGAUCAUCUUUGGAGAACUCAGAAGUGGGCUUUUAAUGGUCUUUGAAUCAGGUGUAGGAUUUAGCUGAUUAAGACAAACUAACAGCAUAUAUACACAUGUUCAGGUUUUGCUGCUCGUUAGUGGUUUCCCAUCUGUAUCUGACUAUCUUGGUUUAAUUUUUUCAGGAAGGGUUUGCAUUUGCUCAUUGCACAACCUGCAAGGCUCCUUACCAUUUGAGAGUUCAUGUUAUUGCUGAUAGAAAAUGGCGAACCUUGAAAUUCCGAUUCUUUGUCACUAGAGACAUUAUUUUUAUAUUUCUGGCCGUUCAGCUUGUAGGUCAUUAGUAAUUUACUUUAGUUGCUUUCUUCACUUUGAUAGCUGGAAUUGGAUGUGCAUUUUGAAACAUUUCUAUUCAUUUAUGCAGGUGAUUGCUUCAUUGGCAUAUUUGGUGUAUCUAAUAGAUGGUUUCCAGCAAUUCUGGCUUCGUCUUGCAUGGGGCUUUGACAGUGAGCUUAGUUUCUACUAUAUAUCUGGUAAAAAUUCAAGUUCUUAUGUGAAUGCUUGUACUAGAAAAAUAAAUAGUAUUCAAUGUUGUUAUACGUGUAUGUGUCUUUUUGCCCGUGUUGGUUACCAUAUAUUUGUUGUGGUAUUAUAUGCAUGGCAUCUUAGCCCGAAUUCCCUCUGUUUGGUGACCGAUGUCUGCUCAGAACUUUAUCUCUGUGAUUGUGAUAAAGGUUUUUGAGAUUCUUAUGUUCGUCAGAUUGUCCAGCAAAAGAAAAACGAGGAAGAUCACACUUCUAAGAUACUGUUAGAUAUUUAGAUUUGAUUUGAUUGCAUUAAUACACUUAUUUUACACUUUUAAAACAUCUUUGGUUCAUUUUCAUGUCUUUAUUUAAUUUUAAAUUAAAAAUUAAAUUGAAAAUGACGUAGUCAAAAAUAAAAAACAUGAAGAUUUAGUAACAUUCUAUUGAAUCAGCAUGUGAAUGAGAAUAUGCAUCCAAACACAGUAAAAGAGAAAAGGGAAAGAAAAAAAAAACUCAGUAAGCAAGUAAGCAAGUUAGAAAAGAGAAAUAAUAAGAAGAAUAAAGAAUAUAUAUUGGUCUGUAUAUGCAUGUAUGUAUCCUUACAUCAUGUUUUCAGGAGGGUAAAAAUGUAUCAUUUUUUUUUUUUUUUCCAACUCUAUCCUUAAUUGCCAUGGCAGGGACCUCUGUAUUGCUACCACUUAAGUGGUCCUGGGUUCUAACAUACCUGUUAGCGAGGUCGUGGUUCAAUUUUUAUAAGAACUUUUGGACCUCAUGGCCCACUACGGUAUUGCUACCAAUAUUAGACCAGUGAGGGCCAUAGAAUCAGUGGGUCCUGUUUGGGUAUUUAAACACUGAUCAAGGCCUGGCCAUAUUAGAUAAGUUUGGAAAUAAGAUCACUACAUUUUAAGAUGUCUAAUUGAUCAGUAAAAUAGAGGUGGAAAAAUGGAGACUGGAUAUGACUUUUAAAAAUUGACCAGCUGGAUUCUUUGGAACUUAAUGUUUUUAUGUGUUGAAGGAUGCUGAUUGAAAGAAUUGCCAUUUAUGUGAGGAAGUGGUGAAUAUUUUUAGUUCCCAAGCGAACACAUGGGUUUGUUUCACUCGCUUUCAUGUUUUCAGAAUUCUGAUAAGGUGGUUUUGCCAAAGUCAUGAUCUUAUCAUGGUCGACUGUAUAAAUUUUGUGUUUGUCACCUUUCUGAAAUUAAAGAAUCAGUUUACGACGGUCAAAGUUUAGGAAAUAUAUAAUAAGGAUGUGGAAAUACAGUCUAGUACUACUUUCUGUAGCCAUGUUGAAACCAGAUAAUCCUUUACCCCCAAGAAUAAAACGGUCAAAAAUCAGAGAGGGAGGUGACCUGCAUGGUGUACCGAGUGGAGGAAGGAGCAAACUGAAGAGAAAGUAGAUUUAUUCAUUAGUGUGACUGGGUUACAGAUUUGUUAUUGAAGAUCAUGAUGAACACCAUGUUGUUAGAUAAUCACAUUGGCACUUUAUUAUUUUGCACAAAAUAACCACAUUUUGAAGAUAGUUACAAUUAUGUAUAAUUAGAUAAAUUUUUCUUUAAUGAUUUUUAUUUAUCUCUUACAACUUGUUGUAUGCGUUAUGUAUAUUAUUUCUACAUUUUACUCUGUUUCUCCAUUCCUUGUGGAAACUCGUCUUCGUGUAGUGGAAGUUUCUUUGGGUGGAGUGUCAUUGCUACCUUUGCGUACAAGUAGUACCUUGUUUUAAGUGGUUGCUGGUGGAGAUCUUUUUAUUUCUUAUGGUUGAAAAUCAAGAAAAUUUAUGUUUCCUUUGACAAUGAUGAAAUCUUGGCUGUAGCUGCUUGUUAUAAAUUUUUAGUUUUUUUGCUUGGGAAUUAGUUGAUUAAAACUUUGUAAUAUAAAUUUACUCUAAUGUUAGGGCACAUUCUUGCUCCUUUGUUCUCUGCAGUAACACCUCUUUGCUUUUUCAUUUUUGGUAAUUUACGUACUUCUAUUGUUGAAUACAGGAGCUCUGUUGUUUUUCGCUUUGCUUGGGUUGUCUGGGUGCUUCAUUACUUGUUAUGACCGAAGAGUGCGCAAUGAUUUGGCUCAGCCUUGUCGAGAAUUAUGCCUAUGUUGCUGUCAGCCUGGGUAUAAGUCUACAUUUGGAAAUCUUUGACCCAGUUGCUACACAUGAUUUGAUUCUUCUGACUGUUUACCUGAUCAUCAUUAUCAUCAUAUUAUCACCUCUAAAUGGAAUGGAUUAAUUAAUCCUGUAUAUUUACAAGGGAGUGUUUCUACGAUAUAGAUCUAUAGAUUGAUAGCACCAAAUUAAAACCAAAGGCACUCUUGGAAUAAAUUUUUUUCAACAACCUUUAUCUUUGAGAGGCCAAAACAAUUUUGAUAGGUUCUGAUUUGCACGAAUGUCCAUUUAGCACAGUGUUAUUUUGUGACAUUUUUUGUUAUUUAUUUUUGUCAAGCUUAUUAAAUUUUAUUUUGACAAUUUUCGAACCAUAGAACCCUGUUCAAUAAGUGGACCUCAUUAGCUGUCCGCUUUCAGGUUGGGCAGUAAGGGUCAGAGAAGGGCAAUCACGCAUUAUUAAAACCAGCCUUCUUAAGACCAAACGCAUAUCUGAUACCUUUUAUCAUUUAACAGCCUCAUUGGCAGAUCAGGAAAUGUGUUUUCCUGACAUAUCCUACGGUAUACUAAUAUGGUUAUUUUGCAUAUUUUUCAUCAAAAAUCAUGUUACUACCACUUUUUGUUGGCUUGCUAUUUACUGCAGAUAGGGUUCAUACAUAUUAUCAUAAACCAAACUUUCUACUUGUAAUCAUCAUGAUUCAAAUGUUGUAUUAGGUAUUUACUUUUUUAAUUAAUUACAUUUUCCAACUUUCUUCCUUUGUGCUCAAAAUCUUAUUGUGGAGGUGAGUUUGGUUCAUGCACAACAUGAUGCGUUAAAUAUUUAAUUACUACUCAAUACUAUAUUAUUAUUAAUAUGAACUCUCUGGAAGUUUGGAAAUGUGAAUUGACACCUGAUGACAUGAACUUAAGUCUUGUGUUUGUUUCUUUGUUUUGUUUUUUUGGUUAACUGCCUGAAGAGUUGGAUGUUGUAUUAUCUACCACAACCCAAAUACUUAAUAGUUUGUGCUACAUCUAUUCGCUCCAUUUAUCUGCUUAGCAGGAGAUAAUGUCCAUUCAUUGGUUCGUAUGACAAUUAGGGUGUAUUAAUUGAAAUCAAUGUUUACAAGGUCAUUCAUUUUUACACAAUUCCCGCAGUGUAUGCGCAGACUGUCAUUUACCAGGCACACUUUGUAUGUGGACUGACUGUACCACGUGCUGGGGUAGCUGUGCAAGUAUGGCAGGUGAAUGUGGUUGCUUGGGAGGUGCUGGUGAAGCAGGGCUGCCAAUACUAUUUAUAAUGGCUUUGAUUGUGCUGGGACUUUUUACAGUGAUUGGCAUAUUCUACAGUGUGCUGGUAGCUACAAUGGUUGGACAACGGAUUUGGCAGCGGCAUUACCAUAUACUUGCAAAAAGGAUGCUGACAAAAGUGAGUUAGGGACAUCUUCUAUCAUUUUUUUAUUAUUUUUAAUUAAAUAUUUUUUUGCCAUGCUUUAUAUUGUCUGCACACUGCAACACUAUAAAUUACCAUUUUAUCGAGCACUAAGUCAACAAGUGAAGCUCAACAACUGAACAAAGUUUUGUCCUAACUACUAGGGCCUAAAUUCUAGCCAAAUUCAGUAGAGGGGACACCUCUUGCAGACUAAGCAUACAUGAUCAAACAUGUGAUUGAUGAGAAAUAGUUUAGUUAAAGAUAUAUUCUCUAAGGCGAAGGAUGACUAAACUUUGAAUCUACCUGCUUUUAUGAGGCUGUCCUUUCUUUACCAACUGACAUGCAUUUUUUUUCUUUUUUGUUUUUUGAAAAAGAAACAAAAUUUUAUUGCUUUUAACAAUAAAAUACAGUGGUGGCCAAUAUGGCCACAAAAAGAAAACAUUUUGUCUUCUUGUUCCCUCCAUUGGAUUAAGAUGCGUUUCCAAGGUCCCUCCAUUGUAUGAUAAGAUGUUAAUCAUGUCUUCUUGUCCCAUUUACGGAACAAGAAACAUUUAACUUUGGGAUCUUAUGCCCUCUACUUAGCUUGAUCUGCGAGUUGUUUUCGACGAAUUAGUUGGUUUACUCAAGUCCGUACUGAAUGGCUAAACAGAUUUUUGCAUACACUAGAUCAACAAUUUAUCAUUUCUGGAUGUUUUAACGCUUCUGGAUCUUGUCAUUACUGCAUAUGUUACCAGAUAUUUAUUUGAAAAUUUAUUUACUCGUAGGAAUAUGUUGUCGAGGAUGUUGAUGGUGAGAUGACUGGAUCUGAUUGGUCUCCACCACCUCUCCCACCUGAGCAUAUUCAGCAGCUGAAAACGCUUGGCCUGCUAUAGAUUUGAAGGGGUAUUCUUAUUAUUCACCAAAAUAACAUGAUAUUGAGAUGGACUGCCUUUCUAUUUGGUGGGGUCAGUCUUUGCUAUGGGCUUCUGAGUCUCAUUCGCUUUAAUCUAAAAUGAGUAUAUGGUUUCUGGAAAUAUCCCAAAGUCAUUUCUUCCUGGUUGAGUUAUAUUUGUAAAAUUUUGUACGUGAAUUUGUGAAAAGUGUUGCCUCUCUCUCCCUCUCUAUCAGUGUAAGAAAUCAAGGAUAGGAUAUAUCAAAUAACUAACAUGUAUAUCAAUGAUGCUUUCAAUCCAUAAAUUGCUACUAAAGAACUUUUUGCAUUUCUUAGUUUGGGGAAUGACUGAAUUUUCCCCCGGUAGUAAACACAACACCGUUUCUGCUAUCUUUGUGUUUGGUUUUUUGUUUUUGUUUUUUUGGGUGGCAAGCAACAUCAAUAAGAAAUCUGAUGUGUAUAGCUAUUGUAUGACAGUAUGAUGAAGCAGUGCCCUCCGUAGAUAUAUUCAACCAAGUAUGAUUUCUCUAAUCAAACAAAUGAGGGGGCAGAGAUAAGGUUGAUCUUUAUAUGUGCUUCAAUAUAAUCUUUUUUAUUCGUUUAAUUAUUAUCAGGAUUUAGUCUAACAGAUGGUAUAUGGUGCAUAACGGUCGAGAGAAAAAAAGGAUUAAGUACAUUAAACACCCUAAACUUUGGGGUGAUUUUAAAUCGAUCUUCGAAACCCUACAAACCCUUACAAAAACUCACGAAAAACUUACACAAACCCCUUUGUCACUAACCGUGCAAUGUGAGACUUAAUUUGAGCACUACAUGAGCUAAUAUUUGAAUUCGAAUACACAAACCCCUUUGUCACUAACCGUGCAAUGUGAGACUUAAUUUGAGCACUACAUGAGCUAAUAUUUGAAUUCGAAGACCAAAAUACAAUUCCGAGCCCAUUGUUACAAUUAAGCCAUACAUUUAAGUACUAAAGACACAUCGCUAUAAUUAAGCCACACAUUUGAGUACUAAAGACACAUCGCCUAAAUAACUGAACAGCCUAACACAGAUAACUUACCGUAACCUCUAGGAAAAGACUGAAAACUAGAAAGCAGGCCGAAAGAAAAAUACAAAGCAGAUUGACCAAAGAGGGAAAUGGAAAAGAGAAGAAUCAAAGACCGACAAAGGAAGGUUUGAGGUGUGGUUUCCUUCUUUUUGGUGAAAGAGGUGUGGUUUCCUUAACCUAUGGUUUAGGCUUGUUUUAUCUUUCAAUGGUUGGGAUUAUUUUUCAAUCAACGCUUUUUAAAUCCACCGAAUAUUCGGUGCAAUGGAUUUAAUCUGUCUCAAAUGGUCAAUAAAUCCACUUUCAAAAUCAACUAGGUUUUUGUUGAGCGAUAUUUGUCUUCUUCAAAAACGACAUUGAUAAUAUAUAUAUAUAUAUAUAUAUAUAUAUAUAUAAUUGUAACGAAGUCGGUUGUAGAUGAUAUGAAUUAAAUUAAUAUAUGAGACAGGUGUUGGCACUCCAGAGGUGAGAGUUGAGGAUGCUUCCACUUUCAGCUUUGAUUUCAACAGGCGCUCUACCAUUAAACAAUCAAAACAAAGGUAUCUGUGGGAACCCAAUGGCAAAAAUAUUAUAUAAAAAGAGUCCACGGGAAACCAAACCAGGGAAGAACCAGUAAAGCCAUGUUCAAAACCACCAAAUCAACACCACCACCCCCAUUAUAAAAAUAAAAUAACAUAAAAUAAAAUAAAGGUGUCGGAAUAUCAGCCCACUUACCUCUAAUCCUUAUCCACUCCUUCAUCUGUUUAACUGCCGCUUCUGCAUCUCAUCUCCCUAUAAAUAUUUGUCCCAACACAACCACCUUCUCCAUCAAAUUCAGUCUGUGCAAAACCAUUUUGAAAGCAAACCACUUUGAAAGCAAGUUACAGAAGAGAGAGAGAGAGAGAGAUGGCAGAUAUUGCAAUUUUGGUAGCUGAAGAGUAUGAGAGGAGGGUGAAGAAUGCAAGGAAGGCUGGAUCUGCUGAAGGAGAUCAUCAGCUGGAGACUGACUUGUUUUCCUGCGUUUCAGUUAUGGCUCACUCCCUCCACAAGAAGAUUGGACAAGAAAAGAUGGAGUUUGUCAAGUGGGUUAUGGAGCCCAAGAGCCAGAUUGGUCUUGAGGCCUCCAAUGGCUUCUUCUCUGCUUGAAUUUUCUUUGCCUUUUUUUUUUUUUGGGAUCUUUUUAUUUAUUUUCUUGCUGUACAUGUAACAUGUAACUUGAUAUCCAGCUUCUCCUUCGUUUUCAUUUGAUCUUUUUAUAAUUCAGAUAAUCUGUACAUAUUUAUCUUUUUAUUUAACAUGUUCUGAAUGAAUAUGAUUUUUUUAUUUAUCGCAUUUUCUUUUUUGACGAGGUGUCAUCACAUUCGAAAGGGUAAUCACCGUUUGAUCGCAUUCCGAUUUGGCUUGCAUAAAGUGCUUCCAACAUUGAAAUAGAUGCAAAUUUCUUUACAUGUGCCUGAGAUUUAAACUCCAAUAUUGCUAUUAAAUCAGAAAAAAAAAAAAGGAAAUGAAAAUUGUGAAUUUAUAGAGUGGAAUUUUGAAAUCAAUUACCUUGUGAUUGGGAUGGUUUGCCUCCUCUUUUGCUGCUGCCGACACUCGAAAAAGAUGUAACUUAAAUUGAAAUAUAAGGUAUAGAUGUGGUUUUUUAAAGUACAGAGAUGAAAUUGAAAAUACAAACAAACUACAUGAACUCAAAGUGUAAUUUAGUCAAAAGAUAAUUAUAAUAUUCAAAAUUCCCAAAGCAGAUGUAAUUUGGACUUUUAUUUUUUUAUUAAUUUAAAAAUGUUUCUUCAAUGUUACAUUGCUAGGCGUGAACAAAUACGUCAUACAUCAUGCGGAAAGUUUAUCGUGCUGCUAUUGGCAUUUUUGAAAGAAUUAACGGUUCAGAAAAUGCUUCUAAAGAUACUUCGACGUCAUAAAAGUUAACUCGUUCUUUUAAUUAAUAUUUUAGUUGUACAAAACAAAAGAUCUAAAGUAAGAAGUCUCUUUUACCUCUAUCCAUGUGACCAGAGGUUUGAAACUCCAGGUAUCCAAUGAAUAUUUAUGUAAACUCCUUCCCGAAUUACUUGAACUAAAAAAAGAAAAGAAGAAAUCUCGUUGCUUAGCAAACAUUACCAAAAAAAAAAUAACAAUCCUCCUUGUUCAAUCUCAUAUCUCUCAUCUUUUUUGUUCUUCAAGAAAUAGAACUAUGAUAUGUUUUUUGGUACAAUAAAAAGGACUACAUUAUGUUGACCUAUGAUCCUUUUCGGCCAACUAGGUCAAUUUUAUUCGAAUAGCAUAAUUGAUUGGGCUGAGCGAAAGUGGUAAGAAAGACAUUAUUCUUGGUGUGAGUGUGUGUGGCUUACCAGUACAAUGGUCAUGAGUGGCAUUGGGUAUGAGCGAUUGUGGCUGGGAUAGGAACAGAUUCUCAACCAUCAGGUUCUAAGCCUCAACCACAAGGUCUUUAGAAUGAGCAAGUGGUUGGAUAGUGUCACCGAGCUCAGUAGCUUGGUGGUGGCAUUGAGCUCGAUAGAUCAAUGGUUUAAGACAGCUUAAGAAAUGCAGAUAUCCUAAGAAAUUUGGAUGGAUUAGAUGGUGCUUAAGAAAUAGCUUAAGAACUGCGGGUAUCAUAAGAACUUCUUGUUGAUAUAUUGAAUGAACAAUCGAAAUAGGGAAUGCCCAAGAACAUAGAACAAUGGCUGAGUUCGUUUUAACGAGAGUUACACUAAAUCCUAAGGAAAAGCAUUAAAAAUUUUGAACUACAUGAUUAAAGGUUAAAGAGUGCAUCAAGCAGCCCUUGGGCUUGAUUUGUUUGAUUAGUGUUGAACCCUUGUCUCAUCGUUCUCCCUUCUAUUUAUAGAUUUUUAUUUCUUCGGCUGAGGAAGUUAUUCUGACCUCACUUCAACUCCCCUCCAAUAAGAUUUUGUAGCUUCUUUUCUACACUUUAUUUGUGACUGGUUAGAAUGGACGGUGGAAAAGUUAACCUUUGGCUUGAUUCUGACAUCUUUGGACGUGGAUCCCUGACCUUGGUUCGGCCUCCCGUUGUUGCUCUUUCGAUGAGGCAAGUACUUCUAUGGUCAAAAUUAUUUUGGUCUUUGCCAUUUGCUCUCUCGAGUGAGGCAAAUAAUUGGUAUGCAAGAGCAGACUAUCUCCUUUUGUGGUCGAGCUCAAUUCUUUCAAAAUGUAAGUACUAACUAAGCAAGCUUCCCUUUGUUUGCUCUCUUGGUGAGGCAAACCUUUUCUUGAUUUGAAGACCUCGACUUCAUUCCUCAUUUAGGCUACUCGUAUGGGCUCAAAAGUCUUUUCUUAGGCCCAAAGCAUGCUUCUUCCUUUCCUCUGAAGGCCUACUCCUUUUAAGCCCAUGAGCAAAAAAUUCUAGGUCUUAUGAUAUUAUUUCAUUAUUUUAUUAUUUCUUUUCAAUUAAUUUACCUAGAAAGUAAUAAACCAAUAAAAAUUAUGUAAUAAAAUAAUAUUUUAAGUUGACAUGUGGGGUGGAAUAUAAAACCCUAUUCUAUUCCAAAUUUCCACAUAAACCAUCAAAUUCAAAUUUAGUGUUUGAUAUUUGACAUCUUGAAAUACUUCAUAACAAACUUUAUUUAGUUUAUUUAAUUAAAUUGUGAAGGACUUUGUGAUGUUUGGAAGUUUGUGGCUCUUCGUUUCAUGCGACCUUUGGCUCUUAAUCUUUCAUCUAAUUAGUUUGAUGAGGCUGUAGGAGAGAGUUCAGAUCCUUUAGGCCCAAUUUCUCUGUACCCUAGCUAAUUUGUUGACACUUAGACACUAAUUUAACUCUAAUUGAACAAUGUUAAGUCAAAAAAAUAAAAAUAAAUAAAUAAAAAAGGCCCAACAACCUCGACGACAACCCAUCACCUCCUCCUAUUCGCUCAUCUUUGUCUUCAUCUACAUCAGAAAAUUGACCAAGCAUAUAAUCCUAGUCUUCUGCAAGACAUACUCCACCGCCUAGCCAUGGACGCUCUCCCGCAAGACACACUCCACCAGAUCAUCUUGAGCCUUCCCCUCCGUCAGGUCAUGAUCUGCUACUCACUCUCCAACUCUUCAACUAGCUCCUGUCCUCCAUUCCCUGCCUUCAUGUGUUCGACUCUGGCCAUAACUAAUCGCUCAGAUUCACCCUAGAUUUUCUCCCCUUCCACUCCCCUCACCCUGUGGCAUCCUCUCUCAGCUACGACCGCUAAGGGGAAUUGCCCAAGUCUACCAAGUCACUAGUCAUCCACAACCUGCUGACUCGCCAGUUCUAUGUCUUGCCCUAGCUCAGGUCGGCCUGGUCGCGCCACGACUCAGUCUUCGUUGAUUCCGAAACUCAAGUCAUGGUCCUCACCGAGCUCACCGCUCUCUAUUUCUCCGCUUCAAACCAGUGGCUCUAGUUCUCAUCCAACCUCCCAUCAAAACCCAUAACUUCAUAUAUAGCAAUUAGAAGAAAAUAUUGAUCCUAGUCUUCAUCAACUUCAGCAACUUCAAGGCUCUUUAUUCCUCCAAGUUGUCCAUUCCUCCAUGUGAAUUAGCUAAAGUUGAUAUGAAAGAAUUUUUUGCCUUUUUCUGUUGAUGUUGUCGUUGCCGUUGAUGUUGCCUUUGCCUUGUCUUUGCUUGCUUUGAUUUCCGUUGUUGUCACUGCUGCCGUUGACCUUGCCUUUAUUUGCCCUUGCUUUGCCUUUGACCUUGCCUUGUCUUUGCCUUGCCUUGCCUUUGCCAUACCAUGUCAAAUAAAGUAGGGCAACUAUUCAAUUAUACUCAUAUAUGCUCAUCUCUUUAUUUUUCUCCAAUAUGGAGGUAUUUAUAAAGAAGUAUAACCCUAAAUAAAAUAAGAAAUAAAUCCAAAUUACAAAAGAAAAUAAAUAUAAAUUACAAUAGAAAAUAAAUCUCAAUUAUACUAGGACUAGAAAAAUGGGUCAGUAACCAAAAUCCUAACAUAGUAAGGUGCCAAAAUCCUAACUAAGUAAGGACUCGCCAACACUCCCUCUCAAGUUAGGGCAAAGAUAUUUUGCAUACCCAACUUAACAAGCGAGUCAUAGAACACCAUACUUGGCAUUGGCCAAUUGAACAACUGUAGAUAAGGCCUUCUCAUAAACCACAAGUGAAACAACUGACAAACCCUAACAAAUAGGGCACAUAUAAGACACAUAAAAGCAGAACACAGAAACCCUGUGAGCACGGCAGUAGGUAAGACAGAAUACAGAAACCCUAUGAGCACGACAGUAGGUAAGUAUGAAACAUAUUCAACAAACUAGGUUUCAUAGUGCGCAUCAUCCAACUUUUCACGGUAACAUCAUCAAUUUUCCACUUUCCAAAUUGGGGGGUCUUUGGAAUGUGGGGCAUCAGAGUCACGAGUUAGGUAACCCAAUUUUCCUUGUGAAGUAGCAUAGAGUUUGAUCAUUGAAGCCCAAAUUGCAUAGUUGGAUCCAUUCAAUUUGAAUUCCAAGAGUAGGUUGGUGGACGAAUCAGUAUGAACCAUCACAAUAGGGGUAGGAGAAGCAGCAGGUGAAGUAAAACCAGAAGCAUGUGAAGAAAUAAAGGCAUCAACAUUCGACAUAGUGAUGGAUGGCAGGGUGGCGGUAGUGGCGACAAUAGCAGCCCAAGUGAAGGACAAUUCCUCCAUAUCUACUACACCUAAUUCACGCAGACACAACUUCUCUUCACUCCCCUAAAGAGAAGGGUCGUCAAAGUUAAGAAAUAUGCAAUAUCUUCAUGGGAAAGAAAAACAUAUAUUUUUCACCCCCUUGAAGACGAGGGGAGGAGAGCAAUUAUUGCAAGGAGAAUUCAAGCACAGAUCACAAGAGAACCUGGCUCUGAUAGUCAAACAAAUAGGGCAAAUAUUCAAGUAUGGGGUUAUUCGCAGCAAUGGUCCCUCAACUAUACCCGUAGUUACAGUUUGGUCACUCAAUUCAAUUAUUAGUUUCAGAGGUCACUCAAGUAGGUGUUUUGUUGCACCAUUAGUUAUUCUGUCAAACUCUGUUAAAUUUUCUGUCAAAAGUAAGGGUAAAUUUAGAAAUUCAUCUACAACCCUUCCUCUCCUCCACAACCCUCCCCUUUCUCCACAACCCUCCACUUUCUCCAUUGCCACAACCCACGCCUUCCUCCUCCACCUCCUCCAAUUCUUGCACCAUUGCACCAUUUGACUGCUGAAAUUUUUGAAAGGGCAAAAAAAUUGAGGCUCAUCAAUUAAGAAAGAAACUGAAUGGUGUGUUGUCAUGCGCUGGCAAAUAAGAAGGGUAUUUGGCACAAAACCUCAACAGAGGAGUUAAUUACUGAAAUGACGAAAAAACCAGUAAAAACCUUUCAUCCAUGUCUAUCUACCAUUCAAAACACAUAAAGUGUUGAGACUUUGAGACUUUGCACACAAUUCCCAAACCCAUCUCCAUAUCCCUCACUAAUUCUAACAGUUGUAAUAUAGGAAGGAAGAGCCGAGCACUCUCUCUCUCUCUCUCUCUACAUUUAUGUAUUUUAUGGUUAAUGGUUUACAGUGAGUGCUGGAUUAGGGUGGGAGGAAGGAUUGGUUGGCGAGUUUGGUAUAAGGUUGGAGAAGCAAUUGAGUUGUCUUUCUCUUUCCUUUUUUUUGCCCAGAUUUUGGUACAAGGGAGGAGAAGCAAGGAUUGGGUUGCAACAAUGGAGGGUUGUGGAUAAAAGAGAUGGUUGUUGAUGAAUUUUCAAAUUUACCCUAACUUUUAACAGAAAAUUUAACAGAAUUUGACGGAAUUGUUGGAAUUUUAAAAGGUUUUAAAAAUUUAACCAUUUUAUUUAUUUAAUUAUUUUGGCUGUUUUAUUUUAUUUAUUAUGGGGGUUAUAAAUAUUUAAUAUUCAUGUUUUAUUUCUGGUUGGUGAAUGCCUUAAUUUUUUGGUUGGUGAACUUUUAUGGUUGGUGAAGGUUAUAUGUUUUUGGAUGCCUAUAAAAGGCCACUCCUCCUUUACACAAAAACACACAAUAAGACACAAUAAGACACAAUACACUAUCAGAAUAUCACAUACACAUUCUAAUUUUAUCCUUUUCUAGUUUUACAUAUAUUCUCUACUUUAUUAUUAUUAUUUUGGGCAAUGGUUAUGUGACUUGGAUACCUAUAUCUGUCUGUGAACGUGCUCAUAGCAGAUCUUGAGUUUGUGUACAAGGGGUCGUAUCUUGGAGUCUUGUAGACCGUCAGUACCUGCACGUAGGGAGGCUACAAAGGCUUUAGGACAGCGUCUUUGACGUGCUUCACCGUACCAAACUCACCUUCUUACUUAUUAUUUAUUUUCCUUUUACUUACCUAUUAUUUUAUUUUCUUCAAUUUUAUUAUACCUUAAAAGCUUUCCAAUUUGUUUAUAUGUUAUUUAUAAUAUAAAUAUUUUGUAUUUGGCUUUACGGAAAGAGGAAAACUAUUAUUUUUUAUAACAAUGACUAAUGGUGCAACAAAACACCUAAUUGAGUGACCUACGGGUAUAGUUGUCGGACCAUUUUUACGAAUAACCCUUCAAUUAUGCUCAUAUAUACUCAUCUCCUUAUUCUUCUCCAAUAUGACGGUAUUUAUAAAGAAGUACAACCCUAAAUAAAAUAGAAAAUAAUCCAAAUUACAAUAGAAAAUAAAUAUGAAUUACAAUAUGAAAUAAAUCUCAAUUAUAAUAAGACUAAAUAAAUAGGUAAGUAACCAAAAUCCUAACAUAAUAAAGAACCAAAAUCCUAAUGAAGUAAGGACUCGCCAACAUAGAUAUGGUUGGCAAUGUAGAUGGGAGCCAAUUGGGUGGGUUGUGGUUGGAGUUGUAGUUGUUGGGCUCUUUGUUUCUUUUUCUAAUUAUUUCUGUUUUUUAUUUUAUUUUUUACUUAACAUUGUUAAAGUAGAGUUAAAUUAGUGUCUAGGUGUCAACAAAUUAGCUAGGGAAUAAAGAAACUCGGUAGGAGACUAUAAAUACUGCCUUUUCAACAUCUUCUUACACACAUGGUCUAUAUUACAACAUCAUAUUUUUCAGUCUUCUAAAUUUCUUGAGUUUAUUCUUGGGCUAAAUAAAUGAGUGCCCUUAAUUUUAGUGGAGCUUUAACCUUUUUGUUUUUUUUUUUAUCACAAGCAAAUUUCAUUACUUAGGAAAGAUUAUAAUACGGUGCACUUACGAAAAAGGUAAGACCCAAAAACAUAAAGGGGCAGUACCUCCAUCCACAUAAAGUGUGACUAACAAAAGCACACCACAAAAAGGCCAAAGGCCCAAACAAAUCCUUCAAAAGGGUAAACACCACAUUUAACACACUUAACUUUCCCUCACCCAAGUAAUGUGGGAUUGUGGCACCAUUCAUCUCCUUGGAGACCCGAUGUCCCUGUUAGAAAGAGCCAACUCUCUUAGUAUAUAUUGUCCAUUUUAGAUCCCGCCCACAUAGAUUUGUUCUAGGGCCUUCAAGCCCAAAAGCGUCGUACUAAGGGAGAUGAACUCUGAACAUAUAAUGCACUUUAUUUUCCCUCACUCAAGCAAUAUAAGGCUGUGGCACCACUCCUGGUCAUCACAGAGGUUAAGGGGAGAAGCUCCCACCAUAUAGAAGUACACUGCAGUAAAAAAUAAAAAUCUACCAGUAAAACCAAAAAUCCCUCACAACAUAGAAAUACAGAAGCACAAAUUCAGCUACUCGAGAUUGUCGUGAUUUUCGUCACUAUAUUCAGUAUAUUUGUACAGCUACAAUGAGGACAAAAAAACAGUGUGAUUGCUAGUGAAUGGACCUUAUUAUAUAUUAGGCCCAUUUCAUAAGGGGAUUAUUUAAAUAAAAUUAUUUGAGGGAUACCCUUUGGGGUUAAUAUGAAUACUUUUCAAUAAUUCGAAUGUUUAUUUUCCAAAUCUUCAUUCAUAGAUCAUUUUUGCAAAAAAUUAGACAAAUUGGUAACAAUUAAGACAUCUAAUUGUAAUUAACAAAAGAGACGAACAUGAUACUUCAAGAAAGCACUACAAUGACAACAAUUAAUUGAGUGGUCAAAUGAUUUCGGAUUCAAGUGAAUUUUUUUGCAUGGAUGGUAUUUGAAUAAAUACAUAAAAGAUAGACUGUCUGAAUCAUUGAAAUUCAUUGUGGAAUGGGCCCAUAAGGGUGUCCCUCAAAUACUUAUUUGAGGAAUCCCUAAACUGUUUAUAUAUAAAGAAAUUCUCCUAUGCAGGCAUGCAAACGUUAUUAUCAUUCACACAAUAAUAAUGUAUCGACAUCUGUAUGAGAGAAUAACUAUAUGUUUGCACUUUAUGCCAUUGUAAAUAGGGAGAAAAGCAGGGAGGUGUAAUAGAAAAUAUAUAGCGUCCACACAAUAAUAACGUCCUAAUGUCAACAUAGGAGAAUUUAUAUAUAUAUAUAUAUAUAUAUAUAUACACGACCAGUGGCGGACCCACAGAGGAACAAAGAGGUGCAGUUGCACUUCCCUUAUGCUGCCCACCAACUGCUCGAGCACAUGCCUGAACAAUAUUCUUCUUUCGUUGGUUGUGUUGCUGCACUACUGGGUUAAGUGUAGUGCCUUUGUUUUUUUUAAAAAAAAGUCUUGGCCAAAACGAUUUCGCUUUGGUCCAGGCGAGAAAAAAAAAAAAAAAAACUUGCAAACUGCCGACGCGGAAGGAAGCCUCCCAAUCCAAUUUGAAGAAGUCGUGCAAGGUGAUAUUACUGAUAUGCAGCAAAUCUCAAUUUUCUUUUAGUCAUGCAAGAUGUGAAUUUCAACGGAGAUGGAGUCCUUGCUUUUGCUUUAAAAUUUGAAUUUAAGCAAUUUUAGGUCUGGUUCCUUUCCUUUCUUUUUUUAAAUGAUAAGUUUUUAUUCACACAUUGGCCAAUAUCAAAACCAUUAUUGUUGUUUUCUUUUUGUAGAGAACUCUAAGUCUUUUAUAAAAACUGAUUCAUCGAUCAAGUCUUGUACCAAAGAAGAAAAUAUUGUAUCGAUCAAGCUUUCAAAGUGUGUUCGAAUGUAAUUCAUAGUUAAUCUAGAAAAAAGAAAAAAAAAAAUGAAACAUGCUGGGCUUUUUUUUCUUUUUCUUCAUCAACCAUGAUAGUUUCAUUUUCGGCAUAUAAAUGAAAUUAGCAUCCUUUAAAUUAUAAGGCUAUUUGGUUGUCAAUUUUUUUCAAAACUUUUAGCCUUUCAAAAUUGCACAUCUGUCGAAAAAUUCACGAGUCCGCCAGUGUACACGACAAUUAAUCCACCUACUAUGUUUGACUAGCUCACCAUUAUCUUUCGUGUUAAUAUAUCAUGAGUGUCCCAAUGGACAACGCACAAGAAGUUCAUUUGCUAAUAACUCAAGUGGAAAUGGCAGUAAUGGGUUUUACUAACUUUAUCAGGAAGGAUCGCUAAUUAAGCAGAUUGCACAAGACGAUUAUUUGUGAAUACAUUGUACAAUUAAUAAUUUCAAAUUUUAAUCUUGCUAAUAAAUUGCUGUUGAAAAAAGUGCAAAUAGUAGGUUAACAUUGUAUUAGGUGUAGAACUCCAUCAAAUAUACCAUCAAAUUUACCUACCAAUAUUUUAUUAUUUGAGGAACUAUCAUUGUAAACUUUAGUAAGUAUAUACUAAUUUCUGGUUUGGUCACUCCAAUUUAGUUCACCAAAUAUCCACUUUGUUUGACCCUCCGGGCAUGCCAAAACUUGCCAGUUAUCUCCAACCAAACCCAAGUCCCUAAGUUUUGGACAUCUAUUUUGAAUCCAAGCCAAAUACUUUAACAUUGCAAAGAUAUUACAACAAAACUUCAUGCAAGGUUCCAAAAUUAAAGUUAUAGUGCAAGCAGUGAAUAUGCAAGAAAAUAUCAAAUGAAAGCAAGAAGUUCUUGGCCCCAGCUUAACCCCACUUGAAAUGCGUAAACAAAUGCGUAGGGUCUAUAGAAACACAAGGAUUCAAGACAGUGUCACAAUCGAAAGAUCACUUUGGAUAAGAUAUUCAUCUCAGAAAAUCUUGUACUCAAACUGCUUUUGGAUAAUUCAAUGUGCUUUCCGUAUACAAUUUUAUUGCAAUAGAUAAAAGUAACUUGCACAUUUAGUGCUAUUGGAGAAAGCACCUCUCAUAAGAAAUGCUGUAAUGUAGACAUGUGCUUAAGCACUUUUGUUUUUUUGUUUUUGUUUUUUGUUUUUCUAGGGAAGAUCAUGGAAAUUCACUCAUUGAAAUAAAGGUUUACAUCUUUCUCAAGUGUUGGGAGCAGCCAACUAGGAGGCAAGCAGACCUAAUCACAUGAGACUAUUACGAAACUAGUAGCUUUGUGAAAUUUUUAUAUGUUUUUAACAACACUAUUACGAACACAAAAUGUACAAAAUGGUAACCAAAAAUUUACAAAAUAUGCUCCGUAAAAGGCUACAUAAAAAAAUUAUUGUAUUUUUUGUUGUUGUAAAGAAAUGAUUUUAUAUAUAGAACCAAAAACACCUUACAAAAAUCUGAAAAAAGCACAUCCCGAAUGAUAUUUAAGUCCCGAUACCAAACGGACUCAACAUACAAUGAUAAAACAAAACAAGCUAAUCUAUGGGCCGUGAAUGGAAGAUAAAAAACAGGAAGGGACAAUUCAUGCUUUAAUAUUUUAUGUACGUACAUAGCUAGGGAACAAAAAAGGAAAAAGAAAAAAAGAAAAGGCAUACUAAUUCUUACACGAGAAACUCUGAUUAGAAAAAUCUGUGUAAGCUGUUACCCUGUAACGAAGAUAACAAGAAAAUAAGCUCCUCAUCGCUGCCAUCAUAUUGUACCUGAUUUCUCAGCCGAUGAUAGCUAGCCACAACAUCGUCCGACAAGACCUUAGUCCGGCAAAGAGGACACGUGGCCCAAUACUGUUGGAGCCACCUGUCAAGGCAGUUCUGGUGGAAUGUGUGCUUACAUUUGAGCUGCCUAAUCUUGUCACCUUCCUCAAAGUCUGAUAAGCAAACUGAGCAUUCUGUUGCCUCUGGCCUCACGCUCCUCAAUUUUUGUGUGUAACACGUUGUUGGAUUUUUUUGCUCUAUGAGCUUGAGGUAUUGUGUGGUAGUGAUCACACGUUUGCUCGAAUUCGGAUUGAGACCGGCAAUCGAACGGACGAGAAUUACAAUUUCGAGGAUGAGGAGUGUGAAGAAGAUUAGGGUUAUGGUGUAGAGGUGGGAGAAGAAUUGAGAGAGAGCUCCCAUGGCUGCCGAAGACUAAAGAAAUGAAGAUAGAGGGUGAGGUCAAGUUAAUACAAUGAGACUUUUUGCCUUUUUGGAUAUAACAGCGAAUGUGGGCAAGUGCAGUGCCCUUGUGUUGUCCCAUCUUUAAAUAUCUUAUAGAAUUGUUAGGAUCUUCAUGUUUUGGAUUCGAGGGUUACGGGAUUUUGGUGCAACCAUAGUCAAAUUGUGACAUGUGGAUAGAAAAGAAAGAAUGUAACAUCACUAUAAAAGCGUUAAUUUUUGGCUUAAUUAUAACAAUGUUGUGAACUAAAGAGAAAUUGGAGAGGAAAUUGAGAUAGAGAAAGUAGAGAAACUGAUUUUCUUCAUUCUGAUUUUUCUGUGUUUCUUUCUAACAAUUAGUAGGCAAAGCCUUCCAACAUGUGGGCCCCUUUCCAACGUGUGGGCUCCACACCUAAUUAUUUACAACACUCCCCCUUGGAGACCACAAAUGGUAUGGAAUAUGUCUCGUUAAAAAAAAAAACUUGCCAGUAAAAACCCAGUGGGACAAAAACUGGUCAAAGGGAAAAAGAGUACAUAAUCAUGUGUAACAUAAAAUUCUGUGUAUAUUGACGCGCGUGCGACACUGCCUCGUUAAAACCUUGCCAGGAAAAACCCAGUGGGAUAAAAAUCUGGACGAAGGAAAAAGAGUACAGUGUUUGAAGAUCUUUAUUGAUAGCACGCUCCCCCUGAUGCUUGACAAAAUAUCUUUAAGUCAUACUGUUGAUCACCUUUCUGAAUAUCGUAUUUGACACUGCUUCUGUGAGUCAAUCUUGAGCGACACUGCCUCGUUAAAACCUUACCAGGAAAAACCCAGUGGGAUAAAAACCUGGAUGAAGGAAAAAGAGUACAGUGUGUGAAGGUCUUUAUUAAUACCACGCUCCCCCUGAUGAAUAUCUCCUCCUGAAAACUUCAUGACUAGCUUUUUCCAGUAAGCGACCAUAGAGAUUUCCAGAGUCCGCAUAUCUAAUAACACUUGGGCUAUUUGUAAGUUCACGCAAAAAUAUGCCCGUAUAUGGUAUUAUGCUGAAAUAGCAUCAAAUAUGCCUCACAUCAUCCCAAAAUGAUGGUGAUGGAGUUGAGCUCCAUCUGGAAAAUACAACGUACGGUCCAAUAUAUUUCCGGAAAAACAUUUAAGUGCCCAACGGAUAAUCCUAAAAAAAAAAAAAAAUACUUCAAUACUUUCUUAGUAUAAGCAAGAAUCUCAUUGGCAUAAUGCUCGAUCUUUAAGUCGAGACAAAUAUUUCUUGAACUCUUCAGAAGCUUUGCAAACACAAUAUAAUCAAUGUACUCACUAAGGCAAUUUAUACAUAUUAAUAUUGAGUACAGAUUUUGUGCUUCAAGCACAUGUCCUUUAGGGACUUGCUUUAUGCAAUUUCAAUCCUCUCAAAGGAUUUUGUUUAAAAGGGAUUAAACUUUAUGACACAUUAUAUAGCUUUUACCCAGCUAUUUAUACAUCUUUAGGGAAUCACUUCUGGCGAUAUGCUCCGUGCAUUUAAUAACCCUUAAAGAUAACAUGUUGGUCUCUGUAAAUGUGCAAUAAGGGGGCACAAUUGAAUCUGUAAAUAUGGAGAAAACCCAACAUUCCUUGUUUCUACCAGAAACAUUGUGUCAUACAAAGUAGAUAUAUUCCCUUUUAUUCUGAACACCCAAGUAUAAAUUUCAGUAUUAACAUCUUUUGGGGUUCGUACUGUGGGUUUGUUCUUUCACGUUCAUUCUCAUCUAUAAUGGAAUUGCCUCAUUCCAUUUUGGCCAAUGAUAUUGUCGACAUUUAAUAAUUGAACGUGUUUCCAAUCAACACAGCCCAUUGAUGAUUUGAGUAGCUACUCCAAAAUCAAAAUUUGUCAUUCAUCAAUUUAUGAUCCCACUAUUCUCAUUUGCAUGCGCAUACAUCAAUUAUAAGCAUUUCUUUGCUUUUGGGUACCCAAGCCACUGCAGGGGGCUUUUAUUAUGUGAGAAUGUGGAUUAUAACCUCCAAUGGAGCGUUAUUUUAUAGUAGAGCGUGGAUAAUCUCCAUUUAGGGAGUUGGAACAUUUAGAACCCAUAUAUCUGUCAUGCUGCAGGCAUGCCACAGAUUAAUACAUACAUGUCAAUUAAUUUAUGGGACUUUAACCCAUACAAUUUGCUACGCAUUAGGCGUGCACAAUAUCAAUAUUGACAUGUCAAAGGAUUGUCCUUUCGGGACUUCAAUCCACAUCAUUUGCUACGCAACAGGCGUGCAUCAUAUUGAUCACUGCUAUAUCCAUAUUCUGUUCUUAUGGGACUUUAAUCUGUGCAGUGUAUUAUCAAUGUAUCCAACUUGCAAUCUGUAAAAUUUGCGUUAAUAAUUCAUGGAUACAUACAAGCCAUUCUUUUGGAACGGACUUAUCUCCCCAUUUGGUUACCUUUCAAGAUAAAAUAUCAAAUAGGUAUAUAAGCAUAAAAUAACACAAGUAUUGCUUACAUCCUUAGGUGGGAGAAACUUUUCUCAAGUAUCAUUCAAGCUCAUAUCGGCCCAGUAAAUAUAAUGUAGCGCUUGAUGAUCUAGUUAUAUCCUGCAAGAGCAAAAAUCACAACUCUUUUGCCUCUGUCAAAACAAAUAACCUUCAUAGUUAGGAUUACUUCAUGGAUUCAUUCUUCAGAUGUUCAUUCUAAAGAAAUAAAAUCUCUUAUGAACAGAGAGUUAUAAAAAGAGAAAAAAUGCAAAAAUAAUGUGAUAUUGAUUGCAAGAGAAGGUAAGCAAUCAAGGAAGGAAGCUGGUGGGAGCAGACAAUAAGCUCUCAUAUCUCCUAGUCUAGAAGGACUUCCGGAGAUUAGAGUAUAAGAUCGCCUUCACAAUUUCCUGAUGUAGCGGAAACGUGAUCAGGGAUAGUCUUGCUUCCUGAAUGGAUGAUCAGAGAUAGUCUUGCUUCUCGGGCAUAUUGAGUGCUCACUGAUAAGAAAAAUAAGUAGAUAUCGCAUCACUAGGUAUGGAGUAAACUGGAUGUCUUCUGCAAAGAAAAUUUCGUUAGUAACACAUUUAUACACAAAUACAAUGAAUAGGUAGAACCGGUGAAUUUCAAAUUAACCAUAGGAAAAUUGCGAGAUUCUCGGGAUACUUUUGAAAAAGUAGCUCCGUGAAAUCCGUAAAGCAAGAUUAGCUUUGACGAAAAUAAUAAUUGAAAACGCCGAAAGUGCCGACAAACAUUAAUGGAGGCCACGUGAAGUUUUGGAAUCUGGGAAAGAAAAAGAGAAUAUGGGGAUCCGAAAAGAUAUUGGGAUCCUGAAAAACAGUAGCCAUAUUUCCUCCUAUAGAUAUUGCCUUUGCAAAACUUGAUUGGAGCAACUGCGUUUCAACUUAACUUCCUUCAUUUUCUGAAACUUUAGUUUUCUUAAGACUUUCUUCGAAACCUUCUUAAAAAUGGCUUCCUCUUCUUCCUGCCCAAAUUAUUUCAAUUUAAAUGAUACUCCCACAACAACCAGUGAUGCCAAAGUUUGGCGUCCAUCCUUUGUAUCCCAAAAUCGUCAUCUCACAGUUAAUGAUUCUGUGAUGAUGAAUGAUGCUACUGCUUCAUAGUAGCUAGGAAUUUCAUGACUCCAAUGGAUGAAAUGCUGUUAACAGGGAGGUCUGAGGAAGAGGCUAUUGAUGACUCAAUGGCUUUUAGCAUUCAGAGUGCUGCUUCUGUUUCUAACAUGGCUGAUCGUUUGCGUGCUAGAGCAAACGAGGUUGAGAGGCUAACAACUGAAAAUUCGUCUCUCCAAAGAAUGCUUCAUGAGUCUCAACAGGAGGUUGAGAAACUUAAAGGAGAGAAUAAUGCCUUGUUGAAACUGGUGAGUUCGUACUCUGUUGAUACACUGAGAAGGCUAGACAUGCUGCAGGUCUCCAAUGAAAGAAUUUUGGGAGACCACGAGAAGCUCAUGGCUAAGCUUAAGAGGCGCCGUCCUCUUCCUUCAGAGGCUUCCAGAACAUAAUGUAAUUUUAUAGAUUUUACAGGGCCUGCACCUUCAUUGCAGGUGGAAAAAAUCUAUCUGUUAUAUGCUCCUUUCCUAUUAUAAUAAUUGCGCACAUUCUUAAACUUACACCUGUGGUUUUUACGUCUUUUUAAAAUGACGGUUUGGAACCUUGUGCCUUAUAGGUUCAAAUAACCACAUUGUCUCUCCCAAAUUUCAUAUUUUAUCGCAUGGUAGCCUGGAACUUUUGGCCUGAGCUAAACACAAACUCAGAAUUUAUUUGCCCUUUUCAAAUGGACAUGAAAUAUGAAUUGAGUAAAAGCCACGAUAAUAUCGCAAUAUAGUAGUGAAGAGCAUUAACUACUAUAUACCCACAACUUCAAGUUCAGGAUCUCUCAUAUAUUUGGAUCCAUGGGCUUCUGGCCCAGAUAUAACAAAAUAUGUGGGGAGCCUCAAUUCAUUAUUUGAGGUUUAUAUUAAUAUUAUCCAUUUCGCGGUGUAUUCUUAACAACCGGAAUUCACAAAAUAUAUUUCUUACUUGAGGUGUCGAUUAUAACAAAAUCGAACUUUAUUAAAUUCAUCAUCUUCUUAUGCCAAAGAAAUAUGUGGCAUACCACAAUUUGCAAUAAUACCUCAAGGGUUGUCCAUUUAAUUGUUGGAACUUCAGGUUCUCAACACUGUUAGAUUUUGAACCUCAAGCCAAAAUCACAUAUUCUUAUGGUAUGGACAUUUUUACAAUUUUCUGUACAUAUUUCUGGACUUCAAGCCCUUAUAUAAUUGUCCAUAUCUUGAGGAACUUCUGGCAUCUCAUUUAAUUGCUCAUCCAUGAGUUUAAGGAACUGCAAGUUCCCUUUUGUAUAUAGUGACGGUUUACCCAAAAUGGUUAAUAUUUAUGCAUACGUCACUAUUCAUGUGAAUAGUACUAUUCAUCAAGUUAUGAAUACGUAUCUAUUCAUGUGUACAGUACAUCUGCCAGUACAGUUAUCAUCCAUGUGUACGGCACUAUGAACCAAUAUGGUACUGUUACAUCAUUAAGGAACUCUAGGUCCUUAUUUACAUGUCAGGGAUCAAGGACCCUUAAGUCCAAUCACAUGUUUACAAAUACAGUACCGGAGAGACUGCCAGCUAUCAUAUUAAUAUCAUCAUCAAGGAUCUUCAAGUCCUGAUGUAAUUGUAUGAUGAGGAUCAAGGAACUUCUGGUCCUGAUCUGCAUACUGUAAAAACUCAUCAUACAACACAAUUAAUCCAUAAAAUAAAUUGCUGGUAAAUAAAUUACUGGUAUGGACGAUAAACCCGCACCAUACUUUAAAUAAAUGUAAAUGUGCGGUAAAAUAAAUUCAUAAAUUAAAUUGCUUGCUGUAUGGACGUUAAUCCCGCACCAUACCUUAAAUAAAAUUAAAUGUGCGGUAAAUUAAAUUCGUAAAGUAAACGUGCUUGUAUGGGCACUAAUUCUGCUCCAUACUUUUAAAUAAAAGUAAAGGCAUGUGCGAUAAACUCGCGCCACCCUUUUAAAUAAAUACUGUCGUAUGGGUAAUAAUCCUACACCAUACAGUAAAUAAAAUAAAUGUGCGGUAAAUUAAAUUUCAUAAAGUAAACGUGCUUGUAUGGGCACUAAAUCUGCUCCAUACUUUUAAAUAAAAGUAAAGGCAUGGGCGAUAAACCCGCGCCACCCUUUUAAAUAAAUACUGUCGUAUGGGUAAUAAUCCUACACCAUACAGUAAAUAAAAUAAAUGUGCGGUAAAUUAAAUUUCAAAAAGUAAACGUGAAUCUGCACAAGUUCCUCCUGUACACCUUUAAUUAAUAUAAUUAUAUAAAAUUAAAAUAAUAGAGAAGAUAAAGGAGCAGAGAUCUUAUCGCUUAUUCUUUCGGUGGGUUUUGCUGUUCUCAUCAAAAGAUGUUUUAGCACUUUUCCUCCUGUUACAGUGAGAUGAAUUGAAACCAGGUCCAGAUUGGCAGAUUCCCUUCCAUGAUUUUGGAAUGGGUCCCAUUCCUUCAUCACUAAAGCUCUUUGAUUCUGGCCAGACACCACUGUCAAGAACCCCAACUAUGAUGUCCUUGCCAAAUCUGGCUUUGGAUAAGAAGUCUCCUCCCAUCUUGUUGCUUGUCCAAUGCCUCUUUUCCUCUUCCAUUAUGCACUACAAUCUUCAACAGUACCAAUGAAGACAUUUUUCAUCUUCUCUCUCCUUCUCCUUCCUCUCUUAGCCUCAUGUGCAGAACGAAAACAGGUCUACAUAGUGUACUUUGGUGAGCACAGUGGAGAAAAAGCUCUACAUGAAAUUGAGGACACACAUCACUCAUAUUUGCUCUCUGUGAAAGAAACAGAAGAAGAAGCCAGAGCUUCUCUGCUUUACAGCUACAAGCACAACAUCGUGCUGAUAACGUGUUGUGAACUAAAGAGAAAUUGGAGAGGAAAUUGAGAUAGAGAAAGUAGAGAAACUGAUUUUCUUCAUUCUGAUUUUUCUGUGUUUCUUUCUAACAAUUAGUAGGCAAAGCCUUCCAACAUGUGGGCCCCUUUUCCAACGUGUGGGCUCCACACCUAAUUAUUUACAACAAACAAUACCCUCUAAAAUGCAUGACAUGUAUUAUGCUUUUGCACAUGUGGCAUCACAUGUUGAUAAGUCCAUAAAUUUACACAUUUAUAUACCCUUUAUAUUUAGUUUUGGUAGGAAAAUUUGAUUUAAAAUAGACUUAUUACUUUAUUUUCUCAAUUUUUAAUCUUCCAGAGCAAGUAAUUUGUUUUCAACAGAAAUAAGUCUUUUUGGUGGAGUUUUAGUACAAGAACAGAUGAAAGCUAAGAUCUUGAGGAUGAUUGUGGAAUUUUUCUAGAAUUUUCGAAGCAGCCAAUAAGAGCAGUCUUUGAAGUUAAGUCAGCAUAAGGUGCAAUCCCAUCAAAACUGUACUGCUGUGGAAGAAUGACUAUUUGAAGACUUUCCUAAUUUUUACUCAAGGCGUACAAUAUAAGAAUGACUAUUGGAAGACUUUCCUAAUUUUUACUCAAGGCGUACGAUAUAUGGCUGGAAAGAUAAGACAAAGACCUACAAUUUGCAUAUUUUUCCCAAAUUUUCUUGGAGGAGGAACAACCCCAAACCUGCAUGUAAAGUAACUGAUGUGUUAUCCCAGUCUAAGUAGGGAGAUGAGUCAAUUACUUACCCAUUUUGGAUUUAUGUUUUAAUUAGGUUUUGCUUUAUUUUUUGGCUGCUGUAAAAGCCCAGCUAGGGUAGGAAUAGAUGUGUGGUGUUUUAUUUAAGCAUGAGAGCAUCAACAGUGGGAGGGCGUAUAAUGAGGUGUAUGUUAAAUAUACACCCUUUGUGAUCGGAAUCACCCGCAAUGGAGAGGUAUAAACGAGUGUAAAUUUGCAUCACCACCAUGAUAUGCAAAUUUAGAUGCACAUGUACAUUUUUUUUUACAUCUCUUGCAAGUGAGACCUACAUGAGAAAAUGUGAGAAAAAAUGGACAAAAGUGGGAUCUAGAGCAGAAAAUGUGAAAGAAAUCAAUUAUACAUAUUUAGAUUUACAUCUUCCCUACUAGAGCAAAAAUUACAUUUACAACCCCAAAAGGUGUAAAGGGGAUAUAAAAGUGGCUUUACAUCCCCAAAAAUACACCAUCCCACUGUGGAUGCUCUAAGAAACAACUCUUUUGGGGGCUAUACACGUAAAGACUAGGAGAAAUUGGAGACGUUGGAAGAAUACCGCAAUUGGCUAAGUUUUGUUGUUUCUUCCUUAUGUUUUUGCUUAUGACGAAUUCUAUGAUUAUGUGUAAGUAAUUUUCUUUUGCUAGGCAUAAUGUAGCCCUAGUAUGAUAAUCUAGUUUUCUUAUUUUACCUAUCUAUUGAUUGCCGUUUGAUGUUGGAUUCUUAAUCACUGUGCUUAAUAACUUGGUUGAUUAUCUUGAUGCUUGAUCACCAUCUAGACUUUUAAUUGAGUUAAUCGGAUGCAAAUUAGAGUAAAUACCAUACUGAAUUUGAGGCUUGCUUCGUGUGAUUAGGAUUUGUAUUUCGUUUAGAGUAAAUACCAUACUCCUAGGGUUUACAUGCUUCUUGGAGGUUUUCACUGAUCUUAAUGAGUUUCUAUGUGUUGAUAUUUGACCUAAAUACCAUAGGCGAAUUGCAUGUAGGAAUAUAUGAGUUAGCCUAAAUACCAUAGGUAAUUCAUGAAGAAGAAAAACUAAGCGGCGACAUCAAUUGGUUAGUUAAUAGGUAGGUGAAUAACUAGAUCAGAUUACUAGUGGUGAAUUCAUUGUCCUAGUGCUUUUAUCAAUUUGAAUUUAUCAUCCUUGUGUUUCGUGACUUUCUACUUUUUUUUGUCUUUUAAUUUCGUUGUUAAAAAUUAAUUAAUUCUUUCAAAAAACCUCUUUUGUGUUUACGUGAGUAUGAUACAUGUUUAUUUUCUUGUUUAUAUAAUUAGAGUAGUUAAAGUAUUUUGUGAAGUAAAUUAGGUUAGACUAAUUGGAAAUUGAACUCAAUCCUCGUGUGAAUGACCUUGUAUUUGCCAUAUAUAUUACGAUUGACCUUGUGCACUUGCCAGUAUAAUUUGUGUUUAGACUAAUCAUUAUAAUCUCUAUUUUUCAGAUUAUCUAAAAUUCACAACACAAGUCAUGCUUAUAAGAAAAACAAUGAGUCUUUCACAAACCACAUCAGUCAAUAAUCUACAUGGAAAUUUGACUUAUUUGAUGCAAACAAAGUAGGACAUGAAAAGUCGACUUAAUGACGAAUUGAAUAAAAAUGACUUUGAAGGAGCAAGUGAGAUUCGUAACAACUUUUGGUGGGCAUUGGAAUAAUGAAGCCCUCUUUUAUAGCAUUAGGCAUAUUACAUAAACUGUAAAUUAGAUCAUGUACUUAAAGCACUUAGUGGAGAAGUACAUGACAUACGUAGUUAGUUAAGUGAAUAUCUAACAAGCAAUCAACAAGAACUUGUAGUUCAAAUGGUUAAGAGAAUUUCUCUAUGCAUCCGAGGUCCUUGGUUUGAUUCUCUUCUCCUACAAUAUCACUCGUCUAAAUAAAAAAAAACCAAAUAAUCAUGAUUUAAUAUAAAAAGAACCAUGUGCUUCUAAUUAAAAAGAAGAAGAAGUAACCAAACCUUGCCAAUGAAGUCUAGUCCGGUGGAAAAGGGCACUGGUUUGCAAACUAGUGGUCUUAAGUUUAAACCCCUAUGACAGUUUUAUGGAGUCUAGCUUAUGUAUGUGAGAAACCCUACUCCCCCUUCCUAACUUUGGCCCAAAAAAAAAAACAUUGAUGAUUGUAAUUUGAUGGAAAAUUUUUGCUUUUGUGUGGUGGUGGCCAACUCACUCAAAUUAUAUUACGGUCCUGUUUGAUUCAUGGAAAAGAUUUAAUGGGAAAUAAUUUCCCAUGUCUUUCCUAAGGGAUGAGAAAUGGACGAUUUCUUUCCCAUAUUUGAUAAUGCUGGGCAAGUAAUCAUAAAAUACCACUUUAUUUCCUUUAACAUGUUUGGUUACAUAGAAAUGUAAAACAAAAUUUGUUUAAUUUUUCAAUAUGAAAUCAAAUAAAAAAAAGAAUGCAUUGAAUGCUAUAUUGUAAUUCUAAAUUAUUAAUGGGAACAAAAUGGACAUGAAAAAUAUGCAUUUAAUGUUGACUCCUUUUCUCACUUUCCCAUGAGGAGGGAAAACAAAAUGGGUCCGAGGGGGGAGGAGUGCUUCACUUUCCCCUCCACUUUCUCAUGUGUGAGGCAACUAUUUCUCAUGCCUGAACUUAUCAAACAUGGAAAAACAAUUGAUUUUCCGUCUUCAAGCCUCCUUUCUCAUGAACCAAACGGAGCCUAAGUGUAUACUCAUUGAUUCUAUAUCCUAAGAUAUAAAAUAGUAACCUCGUUCGUUUUAUAAUGAAAUGAACAAAGUGGUAACACCACCAUCAUCACACCAUUAUUAUUAUGAUUUGGUUAAGUUUAGGGUGAUGUAAUUCAAAACAUUGCACUGGUGGAGAGGGAAAUGAACGUGAAAGGCAGGUAAGACUAGGACAUGUCGUUGCGUUUGUCAUGUAAUGGGUGCGGCGUUCAUGUGGUGGGCCGGCACAGCUGCCUCCUCUUGUUGCUUUCACUGUUUUCUUUCUUUUUAAUUUUUGCACAAAGAAAUUGAAAGAAGCCAAAUGAUUGUCAAUUUGAUUGGCAAUUUUAGCCAAUGCUCUCUCUCUCUCUCUCUCUCUCUCUCUCCACACCGUUUGAUCACGGACCAUAUUCAAACAUGGAAACCAUUUUUAAACGGAACUGUCUUACUGCUUUGCACGUCUUGGAAAAAAAUAAAAAAUGAAAAAACAUUUCAACGCGUUCACUUGUUACAAUGAAAGAGGAUCCAACUUUUGAUAUAAUCUUAUUUUAAUAUAUUAUUUCUACUUUUUCAAAAGUGUAAGAAUGGUUUGAAAUAAUUUGUAACUCAAGUGGUUAAGAGCAUUUAUUCAUGUACUCGAUGUUCUAGGUUUGGUUCCCUCCUCCCUAAUAUCAUGACUCCACAUGCUAUGCUUUUCUUUUUCUAAUUCUUCUUCAACCUUUUCUUUUCGUUAUUAUUCUUCACUCGGUUCUCAAGUUCUCUAUUUUCUCCUACCCAUGAAAGAAAAAUAAAUUAUACCUUUCCUUUUACAAAAAAGAAGAGUUCUUCCGAGAUAGGACCCUUACGACUACUAUAUCCUAGUCAUAUACCCACCUACUUUUAAAUCUUUACUGAAAACCCAAAUUUAAAAUAAGUUGUCAUGUGAGAUAGAUUUGUCCUAAUAUUAUUAACUAAUUACAUUAUAUGCCACCUACCUUCAUAUUUAAUUUAUAAUUUAUUUUCAAGCAUGUCAUUAACUACCUUAAUUAUAAUUAAUACUCCUUAUUAAUAGCAUACUAGCCCCUUGGCACAUCGCGAUUGGUUUUCUUUUUAUUUUUUAUUUUUUUAUUUUUAGAAUUAAGAAAAGAUAACACGGGUAGUUAUGUUCCAUAAAAGUAGGAUCUAUUAUCUUAUUUUGUUUUUCAUUUUAAUUUUUUAAUAUAAAAAAAUAUGAAUUUACCAUAUUAUCCUCAUUUAAUUAAUAAUGUCAAUUCUUAAUGUUUGAAUUAACCAAGGGCAUUUUCUGGUAUUUUGAAUGUUUCACCAUUCUCUGCCUUUUGCUUUAUAUAUAUAGGUAAAUCACCCCAUUUAUUUUGGUUGGCAUUCCCUCUACACAUCGCCAAUGCCUAAAAUAAACAAACAAAAAAAUUCCUAAAUUACAUAUCCAAUAAAUAAUGUACCUAUAUAAAAAAAAAUUAUAAAUAUGUAUAUAAUAUAGGUACUUUAUUUAUAUAUUAAAAGGAUCCGUUACUUUGUAAUUGAAAUUUAUGUAAAUGUUUUUAUAAAUUAAAAAUAAGUACAUUAUUUACCAAAAAAAAAAAAGGGUUUUUUUUUUCAAAAAAAAAAGGUAUGUUGUGUAAUUGAAAUUUCUACACAUUUUUCAUAAAUUAAAAAUAGGUAUGUUAUUUAUAGGUACACAAAAUAAAUAUAUUUACAAAAGAUAUGUAAAAAAUAGGUAUAUUAUUCAUUAAAAAAAAGGGUGGAAAAAUUAGGUACAAAUAAUAGGUACAUUAUUUUAGAGUACUGUUAAAUGAACCCUAAAAUUAACUAAGUACACCAUAAUAUUUUAAUCAAAAUAUAAAAUUAACUAAGCACACCCUAUGUAACUACCAAAAAUACACUUGGUACACCCUAAGACACUUUAUCACACAAAGUAAAGAAUCAAAAUCGAAGGCCUUUGGAAAAAGAGAAACGUAUCCCACCAAUAGUCGGUUCCUCUCGCAACCACAAAGUGAAAGAAACCAAAUGCCAAAGUGUUUCAUUCAGCUAAUAGAUUGUAUACCUCAAACGCCAAAGUCUUACCUGCACAAAAACCACAAAAUUAACUGAACCAAACAAAAUAUCACCUCAAUUGCAACCACAACCACGUCUCUACAAAAUCAUCUUCAUGUUUCUUGUACAACAUCAUUAGUAUCCUUGUCUUUAUUUUCAAUAUGUUUCCAACCAUCAUCUACAAUAAGGAAUCGCAGAGGCAAGACAAUAAUUCAAGUUAUAGUAGAUAAAUAGAACAGAGAAAUUCAAUUUGGAACAAAAAGUGAUGGAUUGCAGUUAAGGAAAAUUCAAUUUGGAGGGGGGAGGAAAUCUUUCCAUUACCUUCUGAAAAUCCAAUAGAGAAUAGGAUAGCUUUUCAAAAUCAGCAGCGCAGAGCAGGACUUCUAUAAGCUCUAUAUGCGUUUUUGCUAGUUUCACCCAUCUCUCUCUUUAGUUUCUUUGUUUUUGAGUGUUAGUGCAUGCCUCCCCCCUCUGGUCUGUGGUGCUAGUUGUUUGGGACUCAAGUAUGGGGAACUCAGUAUGACAGGCUAGAGAAAACGGCAAACCGAAUAAGGCCGGCUAAAAAGAGAAAAUUGAUGCAGCAGUCUGAACAAAGUAAACCUUCAACCAGAGAUUAUCAACUGUGAUGAGGAAAGCCGCUCAUCUUGCUAAGCUCUGCAAAGCUCAAGUGUGUAUGGUUGCUUAUAAUGGGCCAAAUGCCAAAGUUAAGGUCUGGCCAGAAGAUCAAGACAUGGCCAAAGCCAUAAUCUGCUAGUACAAAGAAGCAGUUCUCAAGUACAAAGGCAUGCCCAAAAUUCAAAAGGUUAACCUCUGUGGGUUGGGGGAAAGGAUGAUAAAGGAGCUCGAACAAAAGAUGGGGGCUGAUGACAAGGAAUUGGACAAGUUAUCUGGGGAGUCACUGAUAAGCUUAUCGACUUUCUUGGAGAGCAAGUUACAAAAAUUGGAUGAUACAAAGAAAACCUAUUGCUGAUAUGAUGGAGAGAAGAAUGUUGGGCAGAACAUGAAAAAUUGUGAUUACUUGCUUCACAAGGAACUACACCAGCCAUUAAUCCCUCAUGUGUUCAAUGCAAGCUACUCAAACAAUGGAACUUGGCCAUGGAAAAAUUAUGAACUUCAUGAUAAUAGUUUUUAACUUGGCUUUGCAAAUUGCUCCAACAAUGGCACCAUGACAGGGUUAGCUGAACAAAAUUGUGUCAGCUGGCACAAGUGAUUAUUUUAGUUCAACUGGUGAAUGGGGAUGCAGUCUCAGGUUUUGGUACCGCAGAAAACGUUGCUUUGAUGGAAUCGGAGAAGUGGAGAAACAAUUUUGCACCAACAUAAAUCAAUAGCAUUGAGCAGAAAGCUUUGGUCAUAUGGUGACACGAAACGGGUGAAUUAUAAUCUUGUUCCUCAGCAGUUUAUGGAGGCUGCUCAACCAUCCUUACUUGAUGAGGCAUUGCCAAUUUCAUUCUGGUCAAACCCUCUGCAAUUUUACAUGAAUUAGUUUUGUCACAGGCUCAGGAAUUUAUAGAGUUUAGUCACAACCGAACCAAUUGCCACAAACUAAUAAAUCUUUAUAGUUUAGUCAUUUAGUUCGGUUUCAGUAAGGCUAUAUAUCUAUACAGUAUAUACAGAGAGCUUCUAUUGAGGGAUCUUCAAAUAAAUUUAUUUGAGGGACACCCUUGUAGGGUCCAAUCCACAUUGUAUUUCAUUAAUCCAAACUGUCGAUUUUUUAGAUAAUCAUUCAAAGAUCAUCUCUACAAAAAAUCACUUGAAUCCGAUAUCAUUUGACCACUCAAUUGAGUUAUUGAAAUUUUAGUACUUUCUUAAAGCACCGUGUUCAUGGAUUUUGUAGGACACAAUUGGAUGUCGAAACUGUUUCCAAUUUGUCUAAUUUUUUGCAAGGAAGAUCUAUAAAUGUAGACUUAAAAAAUAGAUAGUUUGGAUUGUUGAAAAAAAAUAUUUGUAAAGCACCCAAAAGGGUGUUCCUCAAAUAAAAUUAUUAGAAGGAUCCAUAUAUAUAUAUAUAUAUAUGUCUGUAUGUAUUUGUUCCAUUUGUUUUUCCCUUGUGGAGUUGGCUAGAAGCAAGAGGAAGUCUCUUGCCAAAGUGCCUUAAUAAAAACAGCCCCAAAAUAAGCAAGAACAACCAUAAAUCUGAUAUCAAAGAAACACAAAGGAAGCUUACAAGUAAGCUCUUUCUCUGACUCAAUUAUUUAUUUAUACACACAUACAUGAUUAAGAAAAUAGUGAUAUAAGCAUACAAAAUAUAUAUAUAUAUAUAAUAUGUAUAAAAAAUAGGUUCUGAUAUACCAGAGGCCCAUAUGAUUAGUAGAGAGCACCCUAGCUAUCCUCCCGAAAACGACGUUUGAUCUACAGAAGCAUAGCAGUAGUGAAGCAUUUGCAUUGCAUAGAUUGCAAUUUGCAAGAACUAUAUGACUUGGAUGACAAAGAGAACCUUUGGGCGGUGCCAAAUUCUUAAAGCUUUUACUUUGCCUUGAAGGUAAAGCUUAGCAGGGCUUAUAGCUCUGCAUUUGGGGUUUCGGUUUGGUUGGUGCAUAUAUAAAAAAAAAUGUACCUUUCAAAUAUGAGGUUUCUGAAAUCUUCUCCUUUGCCCACUUUAAAAAUAUGAGGUUUCUGAAAUCCUGUCCUUGGUUUAGCAAUCCCAGCCUUUAAGUCAGUCAAAGGCAAUGCGAAGUCCUUAUCAGUAUUUUGCUUACAAGGUUUCAUGUACAACCCCUUCACAAUUCCUACCUAAUUAAUGAGCCACACAACUCCUUGAACAAACUAAAAAGAAAUGCGCAUAUUUGCCUCUACACAUUCAUAUAAAUAUUUGGCAUCUUCGUCUUCGUCCCUCAUUGCCUCAUUGCCUCAUCACAUAAGCACACCACAAGUGAAACUGUGAUCACCAGGGAGGAAAAAAUGGCUAGCAGUUGCCGGAACAGACUCUUCUCUGGGUUGCUGUUUCUUUGCUGUGGGUUUCUGGGCUUUAUCACUUCUCCAGCAGAAGCUGCCAUAAAGAAAUACCAAUUUGAUGUGAGUUGUUUCAAAUGCUUUAAUAUCAUUUACAUGCACAGACAGCCUUGAAACAACAAAUUGAAAAAUGAAAAAGGAAGAAGAAAAAAGAAAGCAAAAAGUUGUACUUCGUGCAUGGAUUUCCAGUUAAUAACAUCCUCUGUGUUCUCACAGGUCCAAGUGAACAAUGUGAGUAGAUUGUGCCAUGCAAAGCCCAUUGUUACUAUAAAUGGAAGGUUUCCAGGGCCUACAGUCUAUGUCAGGGAAGGAGACAGAGUUCUCAUCAAUGUUACCAACCAUGCUCAAUACAACAUGUCAAUUCACUGGUAAGAGUUAAACUAAAUUAACCAAAUUAACAAACAAGUGAUCAAAUCAAAAUUAGGUAAAUAUAGCAAAAUGUCAUAACUUAUAGCUGAUUGAGUUAUAUAUGUUCUUACAGGCAUGGACUGAAGCAAUAUCGAAACGGUUGGGCAGACGGACCAGCUUAUGUAACACAAUGUCCAAUUCAGACUGGAAGUAGCUACACUUAUGACUUUAAUGUAACAGGCCAGAGAGGAACUCUAUGGUGGCAUGCACACAUUCUUUGGCUGAGGGCUACUGUCUAUGGUGCAAUUGUCAUCCUGCCUAAACCAGGCACCCCGUUUCCCUUCCCACAACCAUACAGGGAAGCUGAAAUUAUACUCGGAGAAUGGUGGAAUGGCAAUGUGGAAGAGUUUGUCAACAAAGCAAACAACUUGGGAUUGCCACCAAACUCCUCGGAUGCACACACAAUCAAUGGGAAGCCAGGGCCAUUGUUUCCUUGCUCUGAGAAACGUAAGCACAACAUAAUCACAGAAAAUACAAGUACAUGACAUUUUGGGAUUGAGUCCAAACCCGAAAGGUGGUUGCCCUGCAAUUUUCAUAAAGUUCUAAUUUCAAUUUUGUUCUGUAUUUCUUGUUUUAGAUACUUUUUCUAUGGAGGCUGAGCAAGGGAAGACCUAUCUCCUGAGGAUUAUCAAUGCUGCUCUCAACGAUGAACUUUUCUUCGGCAUUGCCGGUCACAACUUGACAGUGGUAGAGGUUGAUGCAGUGUACACAAAACCAUUCACUACUGAAGCCAUACUAAUUGCACCUGGCCAGACCACAAAUGUUUUGGUCCAAGCCAAUCAAGCUUCAGGCAGAUACUUCAUGGCUGCUAGGCCUUUCAUGGAUGCUCCAGUUGCCAUAGACAACAAGACAGCCACAGGAAUAUUCCAAUACAGAGGCAUCCCCAACACAGUUCUACCAAGCCUUCCUCAACUGCCUGCCUCUAAUGACACGGCCUUUGCUCUAAGCUACAACAAGAAACUCAAGAGCUUAAACACCCCAAAUUUUCCAGCAAAUGUUCCUCUCAAAGUUGACAGAAAGCUCUUUUACAUCAUUGGUUUUGGAAAAGAAUCAUGCCCAACUUGCCUUAAUGGAACAAGAUUUGUUGCUUCCUUGAACAACAUCUCUUUUGAGAUGCCUCAGGUUGGGCUUCUCCAAGCCCAUUACUUCAAUCUCAAAGGGGUGUUUAAAACUGACUUCCCUGAUAGGCCCCAAACUCCUUUCAAUUACACUGGUGCACCACUUACUGCCAAUCUUGGGACUUCCACAGGGACUAGGCUGAGCAAGAUUGCCUUCAACUCUACAGUUGAGCUGGUGUUGCAGGACACUAAUCUUCUAACGGUUGAGUCACAUCCCUUCCAUCUCCAUGGAUACAACUUCUUUGUUGUUGGAACCGGGAUUGGGAAUUUUGAUCCUGCCAAGGACCCUGCUAAAUACAACUUGGUUGAUCCUGUUGAGAGAAACACAGUUGGAGUUCCCACAGGUGGUUGGACCGCCAUUCGUUUUAGAGCUGAUAAUCCAGGUAUGAUAAUAAUUGCAACAUUCAUUUCGAGUAAUGUUACAUGUACCACAUUUACUGACGAUAGUGGAAAAAAAAAAAAAAAACUAUCAUAUCUAUCAUAGAGGUAGAAGUUAGAAUUCACUCAUAUAUAAUAAUGACAGGCUUGAGGUUUAUUUACUUAUAAGCUUUGCUUCCUUGUUUGAAUGUCUAGGCGUUUGGUUCAUGCACUGUCAUUUGGAGCUUCAUACCGGGUGGGGAUUGAAAACCGCAUUCGUUGUAGAAGAUGGACCAGGAUCAGAUCACUCUGUUCUGCCUCCGCCUAAGGAUCUUCCGCCAUGCUAAUGACGCGUGGACUGUGUUCGUAUCAAUCUGCUUACUUACACUUCUUGCAAAAGUUGCAGAAGCUAGGUUUCUUGAGGGUUACAAACAAUUAUGAAAGGGAAAAAGAAUCAAUUUGUGUGACACUGAAAAUGUAAUAAAUUAAACCAUGCUAUGUAACAAUUGUUUUCUUUCAUCAUAUUUCUUCUGAUUAAUACUGGAAAUAAUUUAUAUAACCACAUCCUGUGCAUUUCCACUUUUUUGAAUGCUGAUCAUAACCUGAAAACAGUUGAAGCUUUACAAAAAUCUGGAGAUAGCAGACAUAAGAACGCUCCGAAGACUCGCAGGAUCAAAUUUUUCAUCAAAUUAUAUUCUUCAUCCAAUCACAACAUAAAGAUGCUACGUUCUUACUUAUUUAACCAACAUAUAUAUGUUUUCUAAAAUUAAAUAAAUAAAUUUGGAAAAAAAAAUUAAAUAAAUAAAAACCAACAUAUGUAAACUUGAUGGAUAAAACGCAACCAAUUACGGAGCAGCAUCCGUGUUUAAGGGAGAACUAACAUAAUAUAUAUUAAAAUGGCUUUCCUUCACCCAGAUCACAUAUGGAGGACUAGUUAUACAUUUUAGCCAAAUUAAAGGGCAACACUCAUUAAACCAAAAGAUAAAAAGUCAAUUACACCUUGAAAAGAAAAAGAAAAAAAGAAAAAAAGAAAAGAAAGAGGGCAAGUCUAAUGGUGGUCUGUUCGUAUAUGGGGCUCUAAAAUUGGUGGAGAGAGAGCCCAACGGCAAUCUUUGUUAUAGAGGGAUAUAAGAUGGCUCAUGUAAAUGGUAGAGGUAGAGGAAUUUUGACAGAAAUUGAGAUGUGUGCUUGAAUUGCUCAAAAUUGAAACUGAAAGGAUAAAAUUGACAAAAUUGAAACUAAACGGAUUAAAGUGGUAAAACCGACAAACUACAAGGACUAAAAGUAAACUUUUGCCAAAAAAUUAACACCAAAUUUAUAUCCGUACAACUAAAUGCUGAAAGAGGUACCAACUAAUUCUUUGAUCUCGUGAUAUUUUCUCUUCAAAAUGUUGAAAGAGGUAUCAAAUUCGAAUCCCAAGCCAACCGUGGUUUAACGGGACUGUAGCCAUACUUGUGUGAUUUAUUCAAUAUCAUUAUUUCGUAAGUAUCAAGAGCUAGAAUUUGUUUAAAUGUUGAGUAGUCACUAACUAGCUAUUGAUGUAAAAAUUACUCGUGUUGAUGCAAAAAAAUGGUUCGGUACUUUUGGGCUCAACUUAGUUAUAUAUUGGGCCUUCGGAAUGCUCUGGACCUUGGUAGACCGAUUGAUUUGCAAAAUGAGAACGCUCGGUAAGACCUAAGACACCGGUGUGGUAUCGGCUGAAGGCUCUCCGAUGCUUAAGUAAGUACAGAGUGAAUAAUGAUCUGGACGGAGUAAUGGUUAAGUAUGCCAAAAGUUCCAGUUACCUCCAUUUUGGGACUUGUGCUUCUUUUUAUAAGUCUUGGGAGGUGUUCAUGUUGUGUAGAAUUUCGAUGUGGGACUGUAGAUAUUCAUUGUGGAUGCUCCACAUGUCAGAAGGUAUUUGUGUUCUGGUAUUGCGCUCGGCAGUCGCGAGGUGCCAAAUGUGGCCUUACCGUAUCCAUCUGUGGUCCACAUGUCACUUCCUUAGAGGUCUGCCAAUUGUGGGAUAAACAGGAGUCCCCCCAAGUUCCCAAUUGAGAGAGCUUCUUAGUUGGGGACUUUCUUUUAUCUUCAGUGCCUCUGGCUUGCAGAAGGUAUGACCGAUUGUUCCGUUUGUUCGCAUGGUACCGUUCAGUGACCUUGUAGGGGCCGAGUAGCCUAGGCCUCUCUUGGGAGGUAUGGUCUCUUUAUGUGAGGCAUCCUCUAGCUUUUCCAAGGUCAUCAAGUUUCGUUGUACCAUUCAGUAGCCAUGUCCUUUCGAAUGGCAUAGCCUGGCUUGUUGAUGUGUAUGUUCCGAUAGCAUCGUUGUCGCUUGAGCUUCUGUAUGUGGCGUGCACGUUGGGAAGUGGAAUCAACUACACAGGACGACGCUUAGUCUUCUGCGCCCAGCGUGCAGACUGCCUCCACGUGUGAUUGGUGCCACGUGUCAGACUGCCUCCGCGUGUUUUAAUAAUGAUAUAUCAUUUGUGUCCUUACAUAACCCGUAGUUCGAGAUUACAAAUGAUAAUGCAAAUUCAAAGCUUUAAAUGAAUUCGAAAAUUAACUGAGUACAUCAUAUGAUCUAAGUACACUUUAAUAUUUUAAUCAAAAUUAAUUAAGUACACUCUAUUAAACUAUCAAAAAUACCCAUAGUACUGCCUAAUACACUCUAUCAGACAACACCAAAUUCAGAUGAUGAUGAUAAUAGAUAGGUCAAUUAAAUUAAAGUCCCAUUUUAGGAAAUGAACUCCACUAAAACUAAAAGAUAGGUCAUAAAUAUAACCCAGAUGAUGAUGAUUCUUCUUAAAUUUUUUUAGCAAAAAAGUUUUAAUGCUAUCACGAGAAGACCGUGGUGGUAUUGCUACUUUUCUCUUUUUAAGAGGAUCCACAAUGGGCUCUAAUAAGGUCAUAAUUUCACACAUUUGCAUGCCUUCUUUGCUUAGUAAUUUUGUUUAGCUUCUCUUUAUUUUGAGUCUCUUACCUAUAUUUGUGUGUUUUGUAGGUUAAGACAGCAAGGGGAUGACAUUUGAUACAAUUCAUGCAUGUUAAGGGCUGAGUGGCACAAGAGGAAUAUGAGCUUAAAGAUAAAACCAAUUUGAGCCACACUCCUUGUCAGUCCAGUUUCGUAGGUCAUCGUGCAGACCUCAUUUCAGCAACUUACACAGGUUGGAUGAGGAGACAUCCUUGAUAGAAGUUGUUCCAAUGGGUGUUUAUUAUAACAUAUCCAAAUUUCAGCCCAAUUGUAUAAAUCUGGAGCCCUCAACACGUCAAGGAUUGAACCCAAGUUCACAGAAAUGUCAUGUUGGCUGCCAUCACAUUUAAUGUGGCUACAAUCCCUAGAGCCAUAUGCUACACAUGGGCAGCCAUACAUGGGAGUCAAAUCAGCUCAGAAGCUCAGAAAGAUGAACAAAAGUCAAGCUUUCCAUAAAGAAACCAUACCAAAGCAUGUAUUUGGCAGCUAGAGCAGUUGGCAGUAUGUCAGCUAGAGCAGUUGGCAAGUAUGGGCAGCUGGAGCAGUUGGGAGCAGCUAAGAGAGGUGUGCUUCAGCAGCCAAAGGGGAGGACGAAAUUGCACUCUAUAAAUAGAGAGCUGCACACUCAUUCAAGAGAGGGGGUCAGACACACACAUUCACUUCAUCCAUUACUCUCAUACACACAUUCAGAUUCACCACAAAGAGAGAAGGGAGCUUGGAGCUGUCAAGGGAGCUUGGAGAUGUCCUGGGAACUUCCUUGCUGCCAUCAUCUAGUUCUUCUCCUCUCUUUAUCCUAUCUAUGUAUUUCUUAUUUUCUAUAUUCAUAGUUAUGUCUAACUAAUCCAUUUAGUUAGGGCUUAGGAUGAAUCCCUAGUCAUGAAUAUUCAAUGUUAUGGAUGAUUUUAUAGUUAAUUGAUUUCCUUGCUUUUGUUAUCAAGUUGUUAAUCUCUAGUUUAUUAUGUGCUUGAUGUAUGUUUUCUUGGAGUAGCUAACUAGGAUUUUAUGCAUCUAGCACAGGUUGGGAAGGGGUUUAGAUUCACCAAUUCUACUUUCCUUUCACAAGCAACACAUGAAUGGCCUAAGAAUCAUUCAAGGGGUUAAUAACCAUAGGUUGACUAGGACAGAUACCAUGUUCUAGGACUUGUGUAAUUAUCAUAUUCUCAAGGAGCUUAAUGACUCUUGUAUGCUUUAUUCUAAGUAGAUACCAUGCUUAGGUUGCAUAUUAGAGAUCACGUGUUGUGUAGAUACCAUGCAUAAUCACAUGCCUUAGGAGAAUCAUGCAUCCUGCACCUAGAUACCAUAGGCUUGUAUGCGAUAAUCUAUUGUUGAUGAAACUUGAGUCAACUUCUAUGCAUUCAUAACUUGGAUAGGAAAACUAGUGGUGGAUUCCAAGGCUCUAACACCUCUCAAUCAUUGUUUCACAACUUGUUGAUUGCAGCCAGUGUUUACUUUCGAGCACUUUCAUUUCACUUUCUUCUUUUCCUUUCAACAACAAAACCCCUCAUUUCGAGUGCGUGUGUGGUGCUAGGAUUCUGUCCUAGACCUUGAGUAAUUAGCAAGAGGCAUUGUUGAAUUCGACCUUGCCUUUAGCUAGUUAGUCAGUUUCUUUGUUCUAAGUUUUUCUAGCAUUCUAAGUAAUUUAACUUGGAACCAAGUUACCAUUCUCCGUGGGAUCGACCUCGUAUUUACAUAAGCUAUACUAUAAACGGUUCGUGCACUUGCGAGAAUUAAAGUUGUUGUUUUUAAUAACUCAUUUUAGUUGUUAAGAAUUGGCUCAACAGGCUCCCUUUUUUUUUUUUGAGAAAUUCUAUGAUUGCAUUCAUAAUUCAGCCAAAAAAGCCACUAGCCACAAGGGGCCAAUACAAACUAGCCACAAAAGGGUCAUUACAAUAACGGAGCGGUCUAAUAUCAAAAUUAAGACAAUAUGGUGUGUCUCCACUAACGAUCAGGCACGAUCGAAGAAACUCUGGCAUAGGCAUCCCAACUAAGAUUGCAAACUUAGAAUAAUAAAAAAUAGAUAAAGCUUGAAAAACCAAGUUAUAACAAUACAAAUAAAACUCUCACAAAGGAGAGAUGAAAAGCUCUCAUAAAGGAGAGAUGGAAAACUCUCACAAAAGGAGAGGUGAAAACUACACAGAGAACCCAAAGAGUCUUUGCAACUUAUUCCAAACAUAAAGAAAUUGCAAAAAAGAUGGUGGUGGAGAUCCGACGCCGAAAUGCAGGUGAAGAUCCGACGCUUAACCGCAGCCGCCUAUAAUGGUUAGAUGAAAAUCAUAACAAAACUAAGACAAAUAGGGAAAACUUUUUGUCUCUGAAAAUGGGGGAAGAGGUGAAAGGAGGAAGAGAAGAGAUGAGGGGGGGAAGAACAAUGGCUUCCUCCUCCCUGCUACUUUAUUUAAUGAGUAUUUCAAACAUUUAAUUAAUGCUAACUAUUUUUUAUGUUAUUUUUUAAUAGAGAUGGACCAAUUAAAAAAUAGUUAUAGCAUUUAUGACUCCCUAAACUAAAGAGCAUGAUUGAAGUUUAAAUUUUAUAGAAAGCUCAUAAUAUAACUUUUAUAUGUUUUAGCUAAAGGCUUUUUAUUACAAAACGUCCCUGACAUUUACGAAACUAUCAGAUUGCAUCCUUAAAGUUUUUUUGUAUCACUCAUGGUCCCUAACGUUAAUAUAGGUGCUCUUAAAUAGUCACUCUGUAAAAAAAAUGCUAAAUUCAGGGAUAUAAUCAUCAAAUCAAUCCUAAAUUAUAAAAUAUAUAUAUAUUUGUAUUUCCUUCCCUUCUCUCUUUCUUUCUUCUUCUUCUUUCACUCUUUCCUUUUUUCUUCUUCUUUCUUUUCUUCUUCUUCUUUCUCUCCGCUAGUAGUUUAAAAUAUGAGAGUGGUUAAUGGCCUUUUUUUUCGUGGGGUUCCAAUAAUAAAUAGAAUGUAAAACAAGGGUAUUGGCCUUGUUGUAUAAAAGAAAAGAAAAGAAAAGAAAAAGUGGUUUCUAGCUUAGCUCCUGCAAUGGAGGUGUGGGUGGUAGGUUGCCUCCCAGGGCAGGGUUGAAUAAUGGAAGUGUUUAUGUCUCUAGGAUCAUGCCUCACAACAAACGGCCGUUUAUCUCCUCUAGCAUAAAAACCAAAUAAAAAGAAAAUUGCAUUAAAAGAAGGAAAACAAAUAAAAAAAUAAUGGUCAAACCGCAUCUAUAUACAUCAAAUAGUCCCAUGUGAGAUACCCAGAGAAGAGAUAAGGAAUGAGAGAAAGAAGAAGAAGAAAGGAAAGACAGAAAGAAGAAGAAAGAAAGAUAGAAGGGAAGGAAACAAAAAUAUAUAUAUAUAUAUAUUAUAAUUUUGGAUUGAUUUGACCAUUAUAUCCCUAGAUUUAACAAUUUUUUUGACAGAGGGACUAUUUAAGAGCACCCAUAUUAACGUUAGGGACCAUGAGUAAUACAAAAAAACGUUAAGGAUGCAAUCUGAUAGUUUCAUAAACGUCAGGGACGUUUUGUGAAAAAAGCCUUAGCUAAAAUUUAACUGAAAAAUAGAGUAUGAUUGUGGAUGCUCUUAUGGUAUGAAUAGAAAAAGUCACUGAAUUCAAAACGUAUAUGAUUUGUUUCAUCAAAUUCCAUUCAGGCUUUAUAUGUGGGUGUUUUUUUUUAUCGAAUGAUGAAAUUUCAUUACAAAAAAACUCAACCAAGAGGAUGGUACAAAUACAGAAUACAAGGAAGUACAAAUCUAAUCUGUAAUAUCAGAUGAAUGGAAGCAAUAGAUUACCCUAGAUAAUGAUAUCAAUAGAUAUAAAAAUUGAUAAAAACUAACAAAAUUAAAAACAACAUAGCAACAAAAACCACAUAAAAGCACCAGCACCACCAAACAUGUGACACUCCGACUCAAUUUUUAAUCAUUUAUUUAAUUUAUUCAAAUUAUUUAAUUGUGAAAUUAUAAUUUUGCCCUUGGGUCAUUUUGGUCACUUUUUAAUCCGGUAGAAUUUUGGGGCAUCGAACCGCUCUAUUGUGUAGCGCUCGUCGAUACGAGUUCAUAGACAUGAGUGGGCUCAAAUCAGAGUUUUAACGAAGAAGUUACGGUCAACGGAAGUGCAGUGGCACAACCGUAAAUAUUUCAAAGUCGGACUUUUAAAUAACCAGAUCAGCUUUUUUUUUUCUCUCUCUCUGUCUCUCUGUCUCUCUGUCACACAGCCACAUUUUUCUAACGCUGAUUCGGCUUCGUCCGGCCACCGUUUCCGACGAAACGACUUGCAAAAUCUUCCUCUCCUCCUCCUCUACUUGAUCUGACCCACCCAAUUUCUCCGAUCAAAAACCAGCGUAUAGCCAGCAGGAGCUCGAAGGAAACUCUGGUUUUCUUCAAAACUUUUCGGCAUCGUUUCCGACUACUCUGGCGAUGGAAUUUGCCAAUCCUAGUAUGUUUUCUCACCCUUUCAACGUGAUCUAGCUGAUGGUUGGGUUGGUUAUGAUCGAUUUCGAAGUUUUGAAGCUCAAAUUAGAACCUAAGUUUUGUUGGUUUUUGGCUUGAUUUUCCGGUAAGCUCCGGCCACUUUUUGGCCGUGGUCCAAGAACAAAAGUUGUUCCCCUAGUUGUCACAAAUACGUAGGUAUAGGUAUUGUCCGGUGUUUCAAGAAUUUUUCAGUCGCUGGAAUUUUUUCAAGACACCCACGUGCAGCCGGCACAUGGGCCAUGGUGUGGAGGCAUUUUGUCCUAAAAUGUUCCUCAAGUCGUCCUGAGCACGACGGUAUGCUCGGAUUCGAAUUUGGUUACCGUUUGACGGUCGAACGGAUUUACGCAUAUUAGGCAAUAUCCGGAUUUGAUAUGUUCGGACCUUUGGAUCAGCUCCAUUUCCAAGAAUGUUGAUCUAGGUACCACUAGGAUCGUGUAGGAACUCACGGAUCGAGAAUUGGAGUCGCAGAUACUCCGAAUUAAUGAUUCAAAUAUUACGUAAAACGGUGAUCGUCUGAUCAUGCGAUUGAGAGCGAUCCGACCGCUCGAUCGAGGCCAAAAUUGCAAAAUGGGUUUAGUAGGCUUUGUUGAACUCAUAGGAACUUUCGAAUCAGAAAUCGGAAGUCACAGCCCCCAUGGACUCAGUUGACCAAAAACGAGGAGUUUGACCAACUAUUGACCACGGGCCUUUUAUGACCGUCUCAUCCUUUGGGAAGGUACUAGAAUGACUUUGGGACUUUUCUAAGGUUGUGCAUACACAUUAAGUUUCUAGGAAUUAUGGGUUUGGGUGUAUGUUUUGGUUGUGGCCUUACUGUACCAAAUAGUAUUACUGGAGUUGUUUGCCAAUGUUAAAUACGUGAGAUUUUGAAUGAUGGUUAUGGCGUAUUGUUAAAAACUUGGACUUGUUUUGAUGUUGUGAUAUUAGUGUAGUAGUGAUAUUGGUGGGAAACUAACUUGUUUGAUAAUUGAUAUUUUGGUUAAUGAGGUUUUACAAACAUGCUAUCGGUUCGAUUUCGGUCUUUACCAUGCGACACGAGAUUUUCCGUUUAUAUAUUAUUAUUAUUAUUAUUAUUAUUAUUAUUAUUAUUAUUAUUAUUAUUAUUAUUAUCGUUUAUUUUAAUGAUUGUUAUUAUAAUUCACUUAUGGCUUGAUAGAGGGGUUUAGUGUCAGUAAGGAUCUAAUUAAAUGUCGAUUAUAUGUUUACAUUCAAAUAUAUGUCUAUGUGUUUGAGUUAUAGGUACACUGGAUAUUGAUCCAGGUUUUAAAAGGUUGUCUUGGAAAGUGAAUAAUAAUGGUUAUGAAUUCUGGUUUGUGAAUGGUGUAUUAUACAUAUUUGAAUGUAGUUUGAGAACAAUUUUGGAAGAUUAUGCAUGGUCAAAUUCAAGUUAAAGAAUGUUGAAAUUGAUCUCGUUUUAAGAGGGGGAUUUUUGGGUGAUCUGUUUAAGAACUGAUCUUUGUGAAAGUGGAUUUAUUGGAAAAAAGAGGAAUUUUAUGGUAAGUUUCGGAAAAUGGUUUUCAAACCCACCACAGGAGUAAACCCCCCAGUUGCCUUCAGAAUAGUCUAGUCAUUUAUGACAAUGCCCCACGAGACUCGAGGACACCUGAAUAGUGUAGUUUGAGGAUUUGCGUUCUCAGGUUGAUUAUAUCUUCUUGAGUCUUGCGAGGAGAUUUGACAGAUAUGCGUUUCGGGCUAAUCACUCGAUUCUGCGAGGAUAUGCAUUCUCGGGUUGACUAUGUGUCCCCCGAGUUUUGCGAGGAUAUACUUUCUCGGGCUGACCAUGUGUUCCCUGAGUUCUGCGAGGAUGUAACAUAUAUGGUAUUUGGAAUUGACGGAUUAUGAUUGGGGGUACGCCUAGGUGGAAAGUAUUUGAGUUUUGGGAUGUUUUAAACAAAAAUUGAUAAUUUUAUCUUGGUACUUAUUGGUGAAAGUUUUAAUACAUGUUUUCAAAUUUAUGAGACAAAGAUUGAGAGUUUCUAAGAUUUAAGGAUUUAAUACAAUUCACAACUAUUUUUCUAAAUGAUGAGUUUGUUUUUACAUUUGAAAGAUUGAAACAUGUUUUAUUCAAACCGUUGAUAUUGAUAUUAAGGUUUCACGUGGCCAAUGUUAUUUUAAUAUUUUUCUCGUUUUUCCACUUAUCGGUAAUGAGCUAUUAUAUAUAUGUAUUUUUAUCUGCACAUAUGUGAUGGGUGGAAGGUUGUUCUAAAAUCAAUAUCUUUUGCUUAAGUUUUAGUGGAUUGAUUAGAGUUUUGAGCUUUUGGUUUUAGGAAAGGGUAAAGGAAUAUUUAAUUCGUGUGCUCACUUAUGGGUUGAACCUUAUUUUCUUGUAUAAAGAACUACGUGUGGCUUGAUUCCUCAGUAAGGGUAUGUAGGCAACCUAGACUAACCUAGGUGCAGCCGCAAGUUUAUUGAUUGGUUUGCUUUGGUCGGCUUUGUUAAGUUGAAUUUGAUGAACACUUGAGAAAUUAUUUGAGUUUACUGUGCAUGUAGAUUUCUGGGUUUGAGCAUUUUUCAAGGGAGAGUCUACUGGUUUUCCGGUAGAAGUCAAACCCUAAAGCAAUUUUUGGACUAGGGCAAGGAGGGGUAUGUUGGACAAUUGUGCUGGAUACCUGCUAAGUGUUGGACACGCACAGGGUUCGACACAGAUUCCAAAGUGGAAUUUGGGUCGGUUCCUGUCAAAAUAGCCACCAUAAACCAUCAACACUCAAGACAACCCCAAGGCAAAAUUACAUUUGUUUCCCAAUUCAGUAUAUCUUUUUUGGUCAUUUUAUACUAGGGUAAAUUAAGAAUUCAAUAAAUACUUUGGUAGUAUGGUAUACUAAGUUAAUGUUAGGUUCCUUUAGCAGCACUCUAAAUAUAACAUUAGCGACACCAACUUGUAUAUCAACUUUUUGUACCAACUAGUGUGGCAUAUCAUGUGGUAUGUGAAAAUUAGUAUACAAGUUGAUGCCUGUAGUAUUAUUGUAAAUUUAAUAUGUCGAAUUUGACUAAUACAUGGUUGACCUAAAACCACAUCUAAUUUUCUCGGCUUGCAUCGAGAGUAUUAGUCAUUUGAAACUGUUGCUUAUAUAGGAAGCGCUUAUGUUUGUAAGCAUUUUUUUUUUAUUAAAAGUGUAUUCUUAAAAAAAAAAAAAAAUUAAGUCUCACCUUCUAAAAAUAACAACUGAAAAAAUUUGAAUGUAAUUUAUAAAAAUGCGCUUUAUAAAGCGCUUUUAUGACUCACAAACACUUUUAGUUAUAUUCCAAUUUCUCCUUUUGGAGGCCUCCAGGUCCAGGUUUGUCAACUGGUAGGGGCACAUAAAUUGCCUACGCCAACUCCACUUUUGGAUGACCCAUGUUAUAUGCAUAGAGAAACAAAAUUCAGACACUUUAUGUGAACAUUGUAAGGCCUUUUUUAAGGACAAAAGUGGGUUGUUGGAACGAGAUAGCCAUGAUUGCCAGUGCCACCCACUGAAUAUUUAUCAUCAGAACAUGGAAUUCCAAAAAUAAGUCUGAAAGGUAUGAUUUAUGCUAAGAUUCUAGAGCACUGAGUUUCCCCUUAAUACACGAUUCAUAAAGAUAGGUUUUUCUAAAAAAAUAAUAAAAUAUUCUUCUUUUAGUGGAAUGGAGAUGAACUUCUAAUAUUAAAAAAGGAAAAUAUAACUAGAUUAAAAGAAUUACUUAUUAUAUGAAUAGGGGAAGUAAUGAACCGGGAAAUUUAGGAAUGUGAAUUGGAUCUACUCUCUCUAGUUGAUUGGGUUAUAAUUUUGAGGGUAUUGAAAUUACAGAUAUUAACAUGUAAAUUUUUUAUUCUUUAUGUACGUUAAACGCAUGAGAAGUCAUGAAUUGAAAUAAUUUCAAUAUCCCUGUCUUAGAGUCUUUAGAGUAGGAAUAGAGAAUAAUUCCAAUCUAUUCCUUUUUUUUUUCUUUUUUAUUUUUUGAAAAUAGGCGAUGAUAUAUUAUUGAUGAGCAAACAAAAGAACAAAGCAAGUGAGAAACAUGACCACCGCUCCACAUCUUCCGGGCAACCUUAAGAAAAUCAUAGCACCAUAUCGGCUAAACCCAUAGUCCCGCAUUGGCUAAACCCGAACUCAAUGCAACCAGACAUCUUCCCCUCUUUAGAGAUCCAAACUAUGUCGAAGGGAGCCAACUCCUUGUUUAUGUGGGCCAAAAUACGGUGACUAUAUCAUGGUGACUCUUCCACAUCACAAAAUAAACUAACAAUUUUGAAGAAAAAAGGGAUAAAAUGAGAAUGAAGGAGGUAGGGAAGGAGGGUGCCAACCUAAAAAAGGGGUGGCGGCUAAGACUUUUUUAAUUCCAAACAUGCUACAUUUGAUCUUAAUAAGUCUAUUGGCCGGUUAGUCUUAUGGAAGCUAAGAUAACCAGUAUAAUUCAUUAUAUUUAGGAAAAUGCUAGGCUUACCACAUUUUUCAUACCACAUUGUGUACCACCUCCCUAAUAGAGGUGGACCUCCCUAAUAGAGGUGGGCUCCACCUCUAUUAGAAAGGUGGUACACAAUGUGGUAUAAAAAUGUGGUAAGCCUAGCAUUGCCCUUAUAUUUAAUGUACAAAUAGGUACCCUCCAUUUCUUCCCUCAAAUGAGUACACAGCUGAUGUGGCACUAGUGGCUCUGCCACGAGAGAGUAAUUAUAAUUAAUGAUAUUUAAAUUUAAGUUUAUAGAUAAGAUGCAUCCACUUGACCUUCUGGUGGUUAGAAUUACAAGAAUGUGGCCUGCGCACCAGAAUUCCCUUAUAUAUCUGUGUUUCUUAACCAUCUUCGGACAAACAAGAUAAUACCAGUUUAAUUACUGGUUCUUAAAUUAAUACCAAAACCAGUCAGCUCUCUCUGUUUGAGGCACAAACAUAUUAGUGAUGAUGCCUUGCUCAACAGGCCACCGCAUAUUCUCCUCCUCCUAUAAAUAGACUCAUAAUUUUGGAGCCUCUAAAACCACCAAACCAAUCCAAUCCAACCCACAAUCAAUUUUUUAAGUUAUUGGUUUCUCGUUUUCCAACCAUGUCUUCCAUUGGAGCAACUUAUGCAACAGUUUAUGUGAUGCAGAAGCGACAGAAGGAGGAAAUGAAGAAGAAGCUAGAGCACAUGGGAGGGAGAUCAGGACAGAGCAGUACUGUACAAGACACCAAAGUCUCUGCACAUGGGAGGAACAAGAAGGUUUAUCCGGGGACUUUUCAGUCCCCGAACAAUAGUCCGGUGGAGGCCGGACAUAAUUAAUGUGGCUAAUUCUGUGGGUUGUGAGUUUCUCAACUUGUAAGUGAUCAAGGUGCUGGGUUAAUUUACACUACUGUUGCUGGUUAUUUCUGUGUACUAUUGUAAUUGUAAUUAAUUCUCUAAACAUUUAGGUUUUAUAAGCUUCCAAGUUUUAGGUUAUGCUUGUUCUCAAUUUGUAUAUCUAUUACAAGUAAAAGUGGAAGAAGCUUUGCUCUGUGAGUUUCUGAAGUUGUUGCGACGUGAAGUUCCAUCGCAAUGCCGUCGCAUAUGGGUUUUACCGACGAUGUUGGUGCCUUAUACGACACUUUCUAUCCGCCGUAAAUGACCCAUUUUGUAGUACUGCAAAGAGCAUCUUCCUUCAUGCAAAAUGUUAAAUUUGAAUUUAAUAACUUACAUGGGAAUUUGAAAUUUAGUAAAACUUUGAACUUCAACCGAAAUCCCAAAUUUCAUAUUAUUUUAUUAUAUUUUUUAAUACGAUCAAUAACCUAUAAAAGAGAAUAAAUAUAAUAGUGGUGCUCAUGACUGAAAAAAUAUUAAAAUAAUAUUUGGCAUCAGAAUUGAUGAGAUGUUAUUUUUCACAUAUUUCUUCUAGCCUUCAAAUUCAUAUAAAAUUUGACUAUUCGGUUAAAGUUACUAAAUAAUUUUUUCCUUCAACUUUUGCAAUUUCAUAUCUUGGUGGCAAUUUAACAUCUCCAAAUUCCUUUUGGAUAUGCUCUAGGCAGGUGUAUGACAUUCUUUUUCUAUUUUGUCCCUUGUUAUGAGUUCACUUUUGUAGUCUGUCACGACAAUAUCUAUCAAGUAAUGGCUUGUUGGAAAAAAAGAUAUACAGCCAUGAUUACCAUCCCACUGAAUACCAUCAGAACGUGGAAUUACAAAAAAAAGUCUAGAGGUAUAUGAUUGCUAUUAAGGCUCUAACCACUUUCUCUAGAAGAAUGCUGGCUGUAUAAUUAGGGAUAACAUGAGGUUUUUUUGUGGUGCGUGGUCAUUCCUCUUAGUGUAAAAGAGAAAGUUCAUUAAAGAAGAGUUUGUGCUCUUGAGUCAUCCUCUAAAGAUUUCGAGAGAGAUUAGUACUUGUAAUCUCAUUUUCAUUAGUCGAAGUAUUUUCGGAAUUUGUCCCAUGGUUUUUCGCUUCAUAUUGGAGGGAUUUUCGCGUUAAAUUUAGUGUCUAUUUCCUUUCUAUGUAUAAAUUUUUUAAUACAAGUGAUGGUUUAAACUAGAAAUGAGAGAGGGUUUCUCACACACACUAUCAAGGUGCUAUGGGAGUUCGAACUUGAGACUACUAGUUUGCAAAUUAAGGCCAUUUUUCACUAGGCUAGACCCCGUUAGCUCCCCUCUAUAUUUCUCAUACUAUUUGUGUUCAAUUCGUAUUUGAAUUCCUACGAUUUAUAAUUUUUUUUAAUAUAAGCGAUAGUCUAACCUAUAAGGAGAGGGGCACACACUACAAGGUCCUUUUUCACUGGUCUCUAAACCUCGUUGACCUAUGAUUUACACUUAAGCAUCUGCUUUUGGUUCAACAUUAGUAAUAGUGUAAUUGAGAACGUAAUUCCAUAUUAAGUCGAUUGGCCCGUUAGUAUUAUGUAUGAUCUCAUGACUUUCAGGCUGCUACGAUAACCCUUCAUUAGAUUUAAUGUCCAACUGUAGGCAGCCUCCAUUUCUUCCCCAACAUGAGCACACAGCUGAUAUGGCAUGUUUGUGUCAGCACUAGUGGCUUUGCCAACUUGUCAUCCUAUAUAAUUUAUAAUUAAUUAACCGACAUUUAAAUUUAAUUAGAGGUAUAACAUGCAUCCACUUAAUGUAAGAGAGAGAAAGUUCAUUAAAGAAGAGUUUGUGCUCUUGAGUCAUCCUCUAAAGAUUUAGAGAGAGAUUAGUACUUGUAAUCUCAUUUUCAUUAGUGGAAGUGCUUUCGGAAAUUGUCCCAUGUUUUUUCACUUCAUAUUGGAGAGAUUUUCAUGUUAAAUCUGGUGUCUAUUUCCUUUCUAUGUAUAUAUUUUUUUUAAUAUAAGCGAUAGUUUAAAUUACAAGGAGGAUGUGGUUUUUCACACACACUAUCAAUGUGCUAUGUAUUGAAGAAUACACACAGUCCCACAUAGGAAAAUUAACAAAAUAGAAAGUCUCAUAUAAUAAAUGGGUCCACUCUAAUAAAAUCGAGACCUUUUGUAUAAAAUCUCAUACCUGCUAAACAGUUGGUUAAAUUGGGGACAAUAUCGAUGUUGCUAGUGGUGGGCCAAAGGUCCAUCCCUUUGAAAUCUUAACAUGGUAUCAGAGGGGGUCGGUUGAUUGGGCCCAAUUAAACCUAAAUCAAACAAAUCCCAAAUUGAAAAUAAAUAUAUUUAUAAAUAAUAAAAUUUUAAAAUUUUAAAAUAAUAAAAAAUAAAAAUAAAAGGUGACCGAUGUGGAAUUUGUUAUACGUGUGGCCCAAUAAAAAGUGGUCUCACGUGAGAAAAAGUAUUGAAGAAUACACACAAUCCCACAUCGAAAACUUAACAAAAUAGAAAGUCUCAUAUAAUGAAUGGGUUCAUUUCUAAUAAAAUCGAGGCCUUUUAUAUAAAACCUCACACCUACUAAACAUGUGGUUAAGUUGAGGACAAUAUCGACAUUGCUAGUGGUGGGUCAAGGGUCCGUCCCUCUGAAAUCUUAACACUAUGGGGAUUCGAACCUGAGAUAAUUGGUCUGCAAGUUAAAGCCUUUUUUCACUAGAUUAGACCCCAUUGACUCUCAUGUAUAAUACAAGUGAUAAUCUAAACUAUAAGGGGAGGGACACACACUACAAAAGUAUCAUGGGGAUUCAAAUCUGAAACCACUGAUCUAUAAGUUCAGACCAUUUUUCAUUGGGUUAGACCCCGUUGGCCUAUGAUUGACACUUAAGCAUCUACUUUUGGCUCAACAUGAGUAAGUCGAUUAUCCCGUUAAAUCUUAUGCAUGAUCUCAUGGCUUUCAAUUGACAGCUAUGACCCUUCAUUAGAUUUAAUGUCCAACUACGCACCCUCCAUUUCUUCCCCCAACAUGAGCACACAGCUGAUGUGGCAUCUUUGUGGCAUUCUUAUGGCAUCCUAAUUAUAAUUUAUAAUUAAUUAAUCGAAAUUUAAAUUUAAUUAUAGGUAUAACAUGCAUCCACUUAAGCUUCUUGUGGUUAGAAAGAAUGUGGUCUGCGCACCACUAUUCCUUUUAUUUCUGUUCUUAAUUAAACAUCUUGGAACAAACAAGAUAAUACCAGUUUAAUCACUGGUUCUUAAGAUAAUACCAUAAACAGUCAGCUCUGAAAUGCAAAUGCUAGUGAUGGCUUGCUAAAAGAACCACAUAUUCCCCUAUAAAUACUCCUCUAAUUUGGAAAUCUCAUACCACCACAACAAUUCACUUUUUUUUAGUUGGGUUUUUGUUUUCUAGCCAUGUCUUCCAUUGGGGCUAGCUAUGCUGGGGUUUAUGUGAUGCAGAAGCGACAGAAGGAGAAAAUGGAGAAGAAGGAAGACGAAACUAGAGGGAAAGGAGAGAGCAGUAUAGCAAAGGAGAGCAAAGUCUCUGCACCUGGGAGGACCAAAAAGGUCCAUGCAGAGAAUUUUCAGGCCUCGGACACUACCCGUCCCUAGAGGAAGGCCAUAGUUAGUGUGCAUGGCUUAAUGUGUGGAAUGGUAGUUUCUAAAGUUUUUACAAAUGCUUAUGCUUGGUUGAUUUUUCAAGUGAUUUAUUCUUGUUUAACUUGUGUUUUGUAUAAGUUUCCAAGUUUUAGGUUGUGCUUCCAUUUUCACCUUGUAUAUAUAUCUACAAGUUGCUAUAUGUUGUGUGAUCUUUCUAAGCUAUCUCAAUACCAAAAAAAUUUAGUGCUGCCUCUCCGUAGUUUCCCCAAUGAAAAUACUUUAGAUGCAAUAUUUGCGUUUCUUUGUGUGAUUAACGAAUUUUCACUUUACAUAUAUAUUAUAAUUAGAACUGUUCAUUUACGAAAUCACCAUUUAAAGAUCACCUUUAUUAUAAAUAAAUUAAAAAUUAAAAAUAAGAAAAAGCAAUCAAAUUGGAGUUGUAUGGUCAUCCAAAUGUAUGGAGGAAAUGUAUUGUUCACUACGAACUAACACAAUUGAGUUGCACUACUUAAGUUCCAAAUCAUUACCAACCUCUGACUUAAAACAAAAAGAAGGUUUUUUUUAAAAUACAAGGAGAGGGAGACACAUUACUUAAAAUACAAGGAGAGGGAGACACAUUACAAAAGUAUCAUGGGAUUCGAACCUAAGACCACUGAUCUAUAAGUCAAAGUCCUUUUUCACUGGUCUAAACCACGUUGACCUAUGAUUUACACUUAAACAUCUGCUUUUGGAUCAACAUUAGUAAUAGUGUAAUUGAGAACGUAAUUCUAUAUUAAGUCGAUUGGCCCGUUAGUCUUAUGUAUUAUCUCAUGGCUUUCAGGCAGCUACGAUAACCCUUCAUUAGAUUUAAUGUCCAACUAUAGGCAGCCUCCAUUUCUUCCCCAACAUGAGCACACAGCUGAUAUGGCCUAUGGCAGCACUAGUGGCUUUGCCAACUUGUCAUCCUAAUUAUAAUUUGUAAUUAAUUAACCGACAUUUAAAUUUAAUUGGAGGUAUAACAUGCAUCCACUUAAUGUAAGAGAGAGAAAGUUCAUUAAAGAAGAGUUUGUGCUCUUGAGUCAUCCUCUAAAGAUUUAGAGAGAGAUUAAUACUUGUAAUCUCAUUUUCAUUAGUGGAAGUAUUUUCAAAAUUUGUCCCAUGGUUUUUCGUUUCAUAUUGGAGGGAUUUUACAUUAAAUUUAGUGUCUAUUUCCUUUUUAUGUGUAUAUAUUUUUUUUAAUACAAGUGAUAGUUUAAACUAUAAGGAGGAGGGGGUUUCUCACAUAUACUACCAAUGUACUAUGUGUUGAAGAAUACACACAGUCCCACAUCGGAAACUUAACAAAAUAGAAAGUCACAUAUAAUGAAUGGGUCCACUCCUAAUAAAAUCGAGACCUUUUGUAUAAAACCUCACAUCUAUUAAACAUGUGGUUAAGUUGGGGACAAUAUCGAUGUUGAUGGUGGUGGGCCAACGGUCCAUUCCUCUGAAAUCUUAACAUGAUAUCAGAGCGGGUCAGUUGACUGGGCCCAAUUAAACCCAAAUCAAACAAACCCCAAAUUUAAAAUUUAAAAUUUAAAAUAUUUAAAUAUUUAUAAAUAUAAAAAAAAGGUGACUGAUGUGGAAUUAGUUGCACGUGUCGCUAUGGGCAGACCUAGCUCACGCCCAGUAUGAGCCAUGGCCCACACUCAACUUUUGUUACUCACCUAUAUAUAUAGUCAGUCAUGAUCUCUUGGACUACAGGGGUCCAAGAGAUUUGUGGUCACUUACCGUUGGAUGUAAAUUCAACGGUUCACUCACUCUUACACUUCUUUUAAGAAACUUUUUUGAACCAUUGGAUUAAUAUCCAACGGUGGGUGACCACAAUCUCUUGGACUCCUGUGGUCCAAGAGAUCGGGACUGUAUAUAUAGUAUAGUUAGGCCCGCAUAUUUAUUAAAAACAUAACAGUAAGCCCACACAAUUGUCCAAUUAUUAAAAACUAAUUAAAGAAACACCCUAGGAAGCUAUCACGUGAAGACUUGCCAACGCCUUGUCUCUGUCUGGAAUAGUCGCCAAUGCCAAAGAGAGGAAGACAUCGUUGUUCACAAGCGAAUCCAUCUUUGUUUAUUAUAACCAUAGUCUAAAAUAUUGAUAAUAUCGAGGAAAUAUCGAGGAAAUAUCGAGGAUAUUUCGAUUUUUUUGAAUCACAGAUAUUUCGAAACAUAUCCAUGUACAUAUCGUAUAAAUAUCGACAAUAUCGACGAUAAUAUCAGAAAAUAUCGAUGUCGAUAAUUUCGCUCACAUUUCAGCAAUAUUUUGUCAAAAUAUCGGUGUAAUAUUGCUAAAAUAUCGAAAAUAUCGAAAAUAUCGAUGUGAAGGAAAAAAAAAAGUUAUUAAAAAAAAAAGGAAAAAAGGGGAGAAAAAAGCACAAAGGGGAUAUGAACCCCUCCCAUUUUACUCCUCCAACACCUUAAACACCAUAUCACUUAUGUUUUUGUGAUAAUAUGCUAAAAUAUUUAUAUUUAUAUGGGUGGUAUGUUAACAAUUACAUGCAAAACUAUUUUGGGGAUUUAUCAUUUGAUGACUACUCUUCACAAUACACUUACUCUACACAUAGAGAUGAUGAAGAUAGUGAAAAAUUUGAACCUCGUAGGAACUCUAUGUGAUACUAAGUCAUUCAUGUAUCUUACCAUGCAAUGUAUAAAGUGUAAAAUAUUAUAGUAAAUCAUUAUAUAUGAAUGAUUACGGUGUAUUUAAUCUUUUUUCAUUAAUUAUUACAUAUUUUUUACACUCAUAGUGUUUGCCCGCUUGCUGUAUAAUCAACUUAAAUUAGUUAAAUCCAUCAUGCAAUGCAUGUCCUUCUAAUUUUUUGUGAUAAACUCAUAGAUAAUUGACUAAAUUGACAUUCUCCAAAGUUUCAAUAAAAAUUUCCAAGUUUUUCUUACAAUUUCCGUGGUUUUUAUUCAAUUUUUAUCGAUAUCGAUAAUAUCCCGAUAUUUCCAUCGAAAUUUCUAUAUGUUUAGACUACCGAUAUUUCUGAUAUCAUUGAUAUUUUAGACCUUGAUUAUAACUUAGCACUUCUUGUAGGUUAGUAAUUGAUUUCUCCUCCUUAGUUACACUUUCAUAUUUUAUUUAUCUUUAUUUUGUAGAAUAAAAUUAUUUUUUUUUGGUCAGCUAGUAUAAUUUUGUGAAAUUUGUGCUGUGAUUGUGAAGAUGAUUGUUAAACUGUUUAAUUGUUAGAACUUUUUUUUUUUUUUUGGGUCGAGACUGUUACAACAUUUGUUUGUAUUUUUUUGUUACACUGUCUCUAAAUAGGUGAUUUUUUGUAACAGUCAUGGAAAAAUAUUUUAAAAGAAAAUCAAGGAUGGAGCCAUCAACUCUUAUAGAGGUUGGUAGUUCAAAACAAAGUCGUAUGGAAGUCAAUGUGGCGGAUCUUCCUUCAGAUCAUGGAUUUCGAACUAGAAUUUUAGAUUACAAUCACAAUAUUCGAGAUCAAAUCCGAAAAGCAUACCUACAAAAAAGUCCUUGUCAACCUAAAAGUCAUAUGUUCCCUUUUAAGAAAUGUGGAAAUGGAAAACAACGGUUCAUCCCUUCUUGGUUUUAUGUUUUCC